AUAUGUUGUUGAGGCUGGUAAGCGAGGCCUGCGACACAUCGAACUCGCUGGAGACGUCCUCCAGGCUGCUCCUCUGCUUCACCACGUGGGCGAGGUGUAUUGUGUAAAUGCUAACUUCAUCGCAACUGCAGGGGAGCGGGAUGAAGAGCCGCUGGCCCGCUUUGAUCAGGGAGGCGUUCUCGAUGCCGUUCGCGGCGGCGAUCUGCUGGUAGGUCACCAACCCGCCGAAUAUCUCCGAGGCUAUCGCCUUCAGGGAGUCACCAUCCUUCACGGCAUAGAUCGGCCGCCUGUUGGAGAUGCCGGUUCCAUUACCGCAGGAGCAGGCGAAGCGGAUCCGGACGGUGGCGUUGGCGGGGACCUUGGUCGAGGCCGGGAUGGUUUCGUCGAGGCCGUUGGCUCCAUAGAGGUCGUAGAUGGAAUCCACAUCGAAGAGCCCCCUGAUAGCCUCGUAGGUGGUCUCCCUUGGGGGGACGUAGCCGGCCAAGGCCUGGCAAUUGGAAUUGGAGCUGCACCGGAAUUUCGGAGGAGGCUGAGCGACGCAGAGAGAGACGAGGAGGAAGGCAAAGAGCAGCGGGAGUGGAAGAACAACCGGGCCAAAGGGGCUUAUCAUCCUUCUCCUCACUGUCUUCUUUUGUUCUUCCUGAAGCACUUGUUGCUCCUGUUACCGUUUUAUGCUGGUCUGCUGGACGCCGGAAGCAUCGAAGAAGGUAUCGAGAUUAACCAUCCUCCGACCUAUGUCCUCUCUCUCUCUCUCUCUCUCAGAGUCACAAUAUGCGUAAAUAGCUGUCUUUGUCACGUUAAGGCGAGGUGAAGAGAGGAAUGGGAGGAGCUUCCUGGUAUCUGUUAUCAGGAAGCUUCCAAGUCGAUCGUUUCCGCGUGCGCAACGACCGGCACCUUUAUCAAAGCGAGGGGUUGAGGUCAAUCCGAGCAGAUUCCAUAAACAAUCUUGAACCCGAGCACGACUCCCUUUCAUCCCUCUUUCCUACGUCAAUCCUCUAAAAAAUAGAGGGAGAGUUGGAGAGAGACAAAAGAGAGAGGGUGAUGUCCUCCCUACAAAAUACGGGGCUGCCCAGUUGUUUUUGAUCGGCGAAAGCAACUGGUCACUGACUUGGUCCAUCGAGAAUGAUUGAGGACCGACGCACCAGGGAACGAAAUCAUCGAGAGAAGUACCCUGCCUUUGAGUAGAAGCUUUGGUGCCAAGUAACGGCUAUAAUAGCUGUGACACCAAUCGUGGGUUAGGACCGCGCGAUCGAACGAGAACAGUGCCGAUCGUAUGCCAGUUCCCCACUGGACUCGGAUGAGACUCACCCGAGAAGACCUUCACUCCUUGCCCUUACAAAACCCAGUAAGAGGCCGAAGACGAUACAACUUUCAAACGGGCCUCAAUUCUUACCACCGUUGGUUUUCAAUUCUUACCACCGUUGGUUUUUAAUUCUUUACCUUCCUUCCAAAAUAUGAACAGAAAUGGAAGAAGGAUGUUUGAGAUUUUCAGUGAGGCUACCAAACCCGCCAACGAGGUGAGCAUGUGAUGCUGAGCAGAAGUGAAAAAGAUCAAGUAGUUUAAGAAAACUACGUGGUGUAAGAUGCUUAAAGAUUUUAUAGAUCAGAAAAUAUUUAAUAGCAUGGUUUAACGAUCAACUGAAUAUGUAAGAGUGGUUAUCCUAUGAUGUCUUAGGCAACUAAAGCAAGGAAAUAUAUUAAAUGAACAAAUGAAAUGGAGAAAUAGGAAGAUGUACUUGAACCUUAAAAAUAAGAGUUGACCGUUGACUGUCGAUGACUAAGUCGUCAGCGGCACCGGCUGGCAGCUAAGGGGCGGACCUGACUUGGCCCGGGUGGCUGGAUGGCUCUCGCCCGACGGUAUGGAUCGCGGCUGGCUAAAAGGGGUAAGUGGUGUGGGCCGGUAGAAGUGGGCCAGAUGACGUCAAGCCCACGAUUGGGAUGGUAUUCAUCGGCGGAGAGAGGGGAGGAGGGUGCAGGCAGCGCCGGCGGGAAGUGAGGGCGAAGGUCGGCGGCUAGGCGGUGGUGAGGCGGUGCUUGGCAGAGGCGUCGGCAGGAUGGCAAGGCUGGCGUUGGUGGGCAACGAAGGGGGGAUGGCGGCGAACAGGCGGUGGCUGCUGGAGGGGAAUGUCGACGGUAGAGAAGGCGAUGGACAGGCAGCGGCGGUUGAAGGGAGGGCGAUGACAGCGGCGGCGGUUGAAGGGAGGGCGGUGCAGGCGGUGCAGGCGGUGGUGGCUGGCGGCGAUAGAAGAAAGGGAAGGGAGGGGGAAGGCUGGUCUAGACUGGGAGUAGCGGGGUCCUCCGACCAACCCAAGCCGGGGCGACGGGACCUUGCGAUCAGGUAAGGUAAGGAACUAAUCCUCAAAACUCCAUUUCUAAUUCUCCCCAGAUCAAAGGUCUGAAGGCCAAUUUAUAGGCCUCUCUUUAACGGGACAACAAAAUCUUAGGCUUGAUUACCUUAGUAAUAAUUGAAUCCUUCCGUUUCAGGACGUUUUCUGUGGUGCCAAGGACGGCAAGUCACUGAAUCAUGGUCGCAAUCGUUGCCUUCUUCGUUGGUCCUUCCUUCGUUUAGAGUGGCUUAUCGUUGAUCAAGGGAUGGUCGGGGACGUGCUACAUCAGCAUGAUUGUCGGGACCUGUUGUAGAUAGGGAUCAUGAACUAGUGUGAUGCCUAAGAAGGACACUGUGAGGAUUCUCACUGAACUAUCAGAUUUGGUUGUGUAGGAGGAUAUGACUCAAGUUGAUGGUGCUAUUGUAUCACCUUUGACGAAGGUAUUCCUUGGCACAUGCAAUAACUAUGUGGGGGGAUUCAUGUUCUUUUUCCUUAGCAGUGGACAUUAACUUGGAAUCUGACCAAUUCAAGUCAACUCUUAUUGAUUGGCCAAAGUCAACCUAUCCAUAUUGGUAGAAAUAUGCAUUGAUUUUUUUGGUACUAAAUUAGUCAUUAUCUUAAUGACUAGUGAUUAGUAAAGUCAUUAAUGUAAAAUUGUAUUUGAGUAAUCAACAUUGUUAGAGUUUUUAAGUAUAAGCUGCUGGAUAAAGCAUGUUUCUACCCACACAUAUGGAGUGCAAAGCCGAAGAGGUGGCGGAGUUGUUCCUACGGAACGUUGUCAAGUUGUGGGGAAUAUCGCGGAGCAUCAUCUCGAAUCGUGACUCCCACUUCACCAAGUAGUUCUACACGUCAUUGUUCACGCUACUUGAGAUGGAACUCAACUUCUCCACUACUUUUCACCCACCGACUGGCGGUCAAAUAGAAUGGGUCAAUGGCAUGCUUGAGCAAUACCUUUGCCACUACAUCUCCACCAAACAAUACAAUUGGGUAAGUCUACUCGACCUGACUUAGUUCGCCCACAACUUUCACCACAACUCGGCCACGGGCCAUUCACCGUUCGAGUUGGUCCUUAGCAAGUAAUUAUUAUCCCCUCUGAAAGUAGCAAAACAACACAGUCCAUGCCAACUUUUGAUGGCGUAUCAAUAUGCAAGACAUUGCGAAGACCUAUUGGAGGAUGUGUAGGAGGCACUCACCCACAUCGCAUGAUGGAUGAAAAAGUACGUCAAUUGACAUUGACGGGAAACUGAAUACUAGGUGGGUGAUUGGGUCCUCCGUAUUCUUCUCAACCACAAGAGCUUGCAGCGACUAAAGCACCAUAAUGGGUUGGUACCAUGGCACAAUGGCCCAUUCUAGAUUGUGGAGUGGGCGGGUCACCUCGCAUACUACUGACAUCUUCUACCUCACCUAUCAAUACACCCGGUUUUCCAUGUCUCCCUCAAAGCAUACCAUGCGGACGACGAUGACCUAACUCAACAUCGCACGCACCGGCCGCCACCAACCGUGCAGACCCACUUCACCAAGUAGGCCGUAGAUACCCUCGUGCAUUGGGUCAUCGAUGGUGGUGGCCACAACCACGCUCACCGGGUCACCCUCUACCUUGUGAAGUGGGCCAGCAAGCCCAGUGUCGAGGCAACUUGGGAGAAGGAGGCCAACCUCUGGUAGUUCGAGGCUCUGCUCCAACAUUACCACAGUCAAUAGGCUCCACCACGGUGAACAGACUUCACUAGCAGGGGAGGAUGUUACAUGGAGCCCAACUUUGAGCCCAACCUUGGUAACAGCUCAACCAUACGUCUGGUGACUUAGACGGACGGAUGGAAAUGGCACCACCAUACCACGGAGGGACGGGGUUGACGAUGUUAGCUUGAUGGAGGAAUUGAUAGAUAGUGACACUAACUUUUAGUCCCAUACUAUCUGUAUGUUGGAAUGGCCAGAGGCAGGGGUCUACUUAAUGGGACUCACUACCUCCGCCGAGACACACCUUAGUAUUACUAUUUGUAGUUUUAGUACUCGGGGCAGAUCCAUUGGAGGAAAUAUCUACAUUCGACAAGGAUUUGGACAGAGCUACUUGCACGCUUGGUAACACCCAGUAAUGGGUAAGCUUCAAGGAGGAAAUAGUCUACACAUUUCCCAAGGAGUCAAUCGCAUGUUUCCCGAGGUAGCUCAAGGUCUCUUCUCAUCUCGUAGCACAAAUAACCAAAGGGUACCAAAGAGAUUAGGAGUGAGCUUCCAACACAAUGAUGUCUACUUGUUAGUGAGGGAUUAGUGAGUUCUUUGAGGGCCAAGAACAAAGAUCUAUAUUCUGGGUUUUGGGGAGUACUUUUUUGUACUUCUACUAUAUUUAGUGGAGCUUUUCAUCGCCGCCUAUGAAUGUAGGAGGCCGACCUCUAAAUCACAUAAAUUUUUGUGUCUCAUGUUGUGAGUUAUUCAUUUUGUUUUUAUCUUUUAGCUUAUGUGCUAAGUCUAUGUUAGGCUUUUAUCUCUAACAAACAACUCUAUUUCUUUUAGAAAGACUUUUUGGCUUAAGACUUCUCACGAAUGGAUGGAGGAGAGGUCAAGAAAGUAGACUUGUAUAAACAAACCCUGAGCAAUACUUGAUGAAUGACUAUCUUUGAGUACAAGGUGACCCAUAGAUACAAGCAGGGGAGAGAGAGAUAAAUGAAGGGGGAGAGAGAGAACAUGGGCUCUUCAAGUCACCAAAUGCUCCAAACAAAACUUUCUUUCUUUUAAAAUGAUUCAAAUUUAAUGUUUCAUGUUGCUGCACAUUUGAUCUUGUGGUUGGCAUGGAUUACAGUUAUGCUAUUGAGGUGACUAAGUUCUAUGUAAAUAUCAUCAUGAGGCUGUGGUAUUGGGAUACCAUGUCAAUGAUGCUUUAAUAAUGUUAUUGACAGCCUUUGAGGAUGUUAUUUUUGUUGUAAGAAUCAGACCUUUAUUAUGAUAAUACAUCAGCAGUCCUCUAUGCUAAAUUCACCUUGAGAACAAGGUGAAAGUUCAGAAAUUUUUAUCAGAAAAUAGUAGUAUGUUUCUAAGAGAUUUGAGAUCAGAAAAAUUCUUUCAUUCAAAAGUAUCUAGGGGCUAGUUUUGUUUUUUUCUUGUGUCGUGCACUGUUCUUGGUUGGCAUGAGAGAAAGUUUCAACAACUUAAUUUGCAAUUGAUGGUUCGGGUUCACCUCUGUCUGGAUUGUUCUCAACAAAAUUGCUCGUCUGGUGCAAGUUGCAUGUAAUACACCUCGUUCUUUGAAACACGGAAUUUGAGAUCUUUGGCUCGUCUUGGGAAUGAAACAGAGGAUGCAGGAGAGGGAUUUCCUGAUAGCUAUAUGUUUUCUAUUUUUCCGUACUGGUUGUGUAGUGUUUCCUCAAGUACGGUCCAGGCAAUCGGAACGAGGGGAGAGGCGGGCUUGGAGGUGACGUAUGGUCUCUCCUGGGGGUCCUCCAGUACCAGCCGAGUUCCUUCUCCAUUAUAUAAUUCAUACCCUCCGAUUUAUGGUGGUCUUGUAAAGAUGGGUCGGUUUUAAAUGAUCUUUAAUCGUUUUCAGAAUAGUGUCAGCUACCAUGGAAAUCACCAAACGCUUACAGAAAUUUGAAAGUACGUGAUUUAAUGGUUGGAAUUAUAGGAAGACUGCGGGACUCCUCUCCGGUUCUUGAUAAUCUUUACCGUUGACCUUGCAGCAGCGGGGGAAAUUAGGCCUGCUUCUUCUUCAUCAACGAGGGACAUUAACCUGGACUUCGACCAGUUGAAGUCAACUCUUGCCGAUCGACCGGAGCCAAUCCAUGUAUCUUGAUGGAAAGAUACGUUGCAAAACUUUUCGUACUACGUUAGGCAUUAUCUAAACGAACUUGUGCUGAAUAAAACAGCAGACUAAAAACCAUACUUGGGUGAAUAUGAUUGUCGGUUUUUUAGCCUCCAUAAAUGUCUGUAUUACCUCGAGGUCUCCGUAUAUUGUGUUCUUUAUUUAAAGGUUUUGUGGUGAAUUUUUAAACAAAAGACAUCCGAAAAUCUGUCUCACUUAAAGCAAAUGGUGACGAUUCCAUGACGUCACAUAACACUGCGAUCCCCCUCGUCACGGUAAAGUGGAGCUGUUUUUUAUGACAGGGUAAGAUCGACUGGUCUUCUGCAAGCCGCCGGAGCAUCCGCUGAUGCCCGCGCAGAGCUGAGGAGAAGAUGGACGGGACGAUCCGGUGCUCCGCCAACUACGUCCCGCUGACCCCGAUCAGCUUCCUGGAGCGCUCGGUGGUAGUGUACGCGGAUCGGCCGGCGGUGGUCGACGGCUUGAGGAGGUUCACCUGGAGGGAGACGCGGGACCGGUGCCUGAGGCUGGCAUCGGCCCUCGCUCAGCUGGGGAUCAACCGCGGAGAUGUAGUGAGUUCCCUUUUACCCUCGCAGAUCAGGAGAAAUUUUUUUUACGAGGUCCCGUUCUUGUUGUCGUCCGAGCGUUUUUUUAUUUUUGCUUCCCCACAUUCAGUCGAUCUCGUUGUUGGAUUCGCUGUGGAUUUCUCAAGCGUCGUUCUUUCUCGAGUAGUUUUUCCAUGAUGGGUGUGUCUCCGUGCAUUAUCUUGCUGCUGCCUGCGCGCUCUCGAAGCACUGGAUCAAUGCUUCCGUUCUCCUUUUUUUUCUUUGCUAUAGGUGAAAGGUCUUCCACUGGUUUAAUAGUAAAUGUGUGUCAUGUGUAAUAGUGGCCGUAAGUUUAAAGCCACACAAAAAACUAUGUAAAAUUUUGGGUAAUCCCUUUCGUUUCUUGAUAUCUUUAGUUUUCCUUCUUCUUAUUUGAUUCCCUCCUCAUUUGCUGUGCAAAUCCUCGUCCUACCUCCUUUUCUAGUGCAUUUUAUCGGCGCACCUUGCUAACUUUGUGAGAUUUUUUAAUUAUUCAUCUUCUCAGGAGUCCUCAGGUUGCGCAUAAUUUAUGACCGGUAUAAUCAUGGCUGUACGAUGGAGCUUUACCUUUUUUGUGAUUGUCUGACGUAUUUUGCUGCACCACUUUUGGUUCAUCUCUGAUUAUCUGGUUUCGUUUCAUAUGCUUCCUUUCUGGUCUUUAUAUUUUAUCUCUGGCAUUCAUCACCCGCUGGCAAGAUACUCUGCAGUGACUCCACGGAAUUCAGAGGUGGUGUGAGCUGAAAAAACACUAUAAUUUUCCCAUCUGUAUUUCGAAAUCUAACCAGAGAUCAUGCUGGAGAUCGCACACUCGGAGGUGGAAAUCGGAUCUUGACAGAGAAUCGUAGAUCUUCCCAGAACUUCCCUAAUACUUUCAGCCGUUGCCUGACGACAUACCGGCAUGCCACCGGUGGAAACAAUGCGUGUUACCACCAACCCUCGUGUUCCCAGAAGAACUUGUUCCUUGUUAUUUACCCCUACAUUGCCGCGGAUUGUAGUUUCUUGAAUCGCGACUCGUUUCUGCUGAUUUCCACUCCGGCCUUCAACCUGUUUGAGUUUUUGCCCGCACCCCGAACACUUAUUUCCUUCCUGUUCUCGUAUCUUAAGCUUGGGAAAUCUUUCUCUUUCGUCGCCCCUGGUCGACUUCCUCUGAUCCUUUGUCCUCUGCACUCUGAUCCAGGUGUCUGUUCUGGCCCCGAAUAUUCCGGCGCUGUACGAGCUCCACUUCGGCGCUCCCAUGGCGGGCGCAGUCCUCUGCACGAUGAACACGCGCCACGACUCCGCCACGAUAUCGGUCCUCCUCAAGCACUCGGGGGCCAGAGUUUUCUUCGUCGAUCACCCGUUCCUCGAGGUCGCCAUGGGAUCCUUCAAGCUGCUAUCGGAGGAGAACCAGACGCCUACUCCCCUGCUGGUGGUCAUAUCGCAGUCGUCCUCCACCGGCCGCUCGCCGGCGAGCCUGGGCUACGAGGAUCUCCUCCGUCGAGCAGACCCUAAUUUCGAGAUCCGGUGGCCGGCGGACGAGUGCGACCCCAUCUCGCUCAACUACACAUCCGGCACCACCUCCAGCCCCAAGGGGGUCGUCUACAGUCACCGCGGUGCGUACCUCAGCGCCAUCGCUGCCGUCCUCCGCGGCGAAGUCCCCGCCGGUCCGGUGUACCUGUGGACGGUGCCCAUGUUCCACUGCAACGGCUGGUGCAUGGCGUGGGGCGUCGCCGCGCAGGGUGGGACUAGCGUGUGCCUCAGGCAGGUCUCCGCCGGCGACAUCUUCGCCGCCAUCGCCGAGCACGGGGUGACCCACAUGGGCGGCGCGCCGACGGUGCUCAACACGAUCGCCAACUCGCCGGAGGCGGAGCAGCGGCGGAGGUGCAGGGCACCGGCUACCGGAAAGGUGGUGAGGGUGCUGACCGGCGGAGCGCCGCCGCCGGCGGAGGUGUUGUUCAGGAUGGAGGAACUGGGGUUCGAGGUGACGCACUCGUACGGGCUGACGGAGACUUACGGCGGCGCCACCUUUUGCGCGUGGAAGCCGGAGUGGGACGCGCUGCCAGCACAGGAGCGGGCGAGGGUCAAGGCCCGGCAGGGGCUGCAGCACAUCGCACUGGAGGCGGUGGACGUGAAGGACCCCGCCACCAUGGAGAGCGUCCCCGCGGACGGGAGGACCAUGGGAGAGGUGAUGUUCAGGGGGAACACCGUGAUGAGCGGGUACUACAAAGACGGCGGCGCCACCAGGCAGGCCUUCUCCGGCGGGUGGCUCCGAUCGGGGGACCUGGGGGUGCGGCACGGCGACGGGUACAUCGAGCUCAAGGACAGGUCCAAGGACAUCAUCAUCUCCGGGGGGGAGAAUAUCAGCACCAUCGAGGUGGAGGCGGCGCUGUACAGGCAUGCCGCGGUGUUGGAGGCGGCGGUGGUGGGGCGGGCCGACGAGCACUGGGGGGAGACGCCGUGCGCGUUCGUGAAGCUCAGGGAAGGCGCGCGGGUAGCAGCGGAGGAGCUCGUGGAGUUCUGCAAGGCGCGGCUGCCGCGGUACAUGGCGCCGAGGACCGUCGUGUUUGUGGAGGAGCUCCCGAAGACCUCCACGGGGAAGACGCAGAAGUUCGUCCUGAGGGAGAGGGCGAGGGCCAUGGGGGCCUCCCGCAGCAUGCUUUGACGACGGGGCAUCCCUCCCUCAUUCUCUCUCUCUCUUUCGCUAUCUCUAUAACAAGCUUUGACGAUGGCACUGUCGGCGCAGUUCUUCCUGCCGUUAGUGGGAAUGAACCUUUCAUCACGUACCACCCAACCCCCUUAUCCUUUUUUGUUUCUUUCGGGUUCUUUUAAUUUCGAGAUUAAUCUCAUUGAUUUAUAAAAUUAGUUCCAACUCAGUCCAUGUUUAUCGCUGUGGCUGAGGAUCAUAGGAAAUCUUUCAAUGUAGACCAGACGAAUUAAAAGCUAAAAUGUGUGACAACCACAUGUGCUGUCCACCAAGGGAAUUUACGACGCUCGUUGCCAAUUUCUUUUUGGAUCAACUGCUGCUGGCCUUUUUCGCACUAUCUUCCAUCCUCGCGACGCAUAUCUGUGUUGCCGUAUACCUUAUGAUAAGGUCCUUAUCGGUUGUGAGAAGGCAACUGAAUUGUUGACAAAAGCAAUAUUGGAUGAUAAUAUCACAGGGGCAGUAAACAAUUGAGAAUUUAAGAUGAAAGAGACACAUCAAUGACUUUGCACAGGAGGUUUACAUUGAAAAAAUCGAGGGAGGUAGAACGAUAAAGGAGAUAAUGUGAAUCUGAACUCUGGAAACGGAAUUAGCCCUUCUCCAUGGAAAAUAGGCAUCCUUUUUGGCCCUAGUCAACCGAUUUCAGACCCAAGAUUAGGUUAAACACCCGUCAUCUAGUACCAAACGUGUCCCCCACUUAACAGGGGACCAACAUAAAAGAGCUUGAUCCACCACUGGUCUCAGUACUGCACCAUGUGUUCUGGUGAAUUAAAUGUUCAUGUUUAACGAUAAUCUAGCUUAAAAUUCAUCAAUAUUGGGUGGAGAAAAAUAAAUUCAUCAAUAUUUGAUACUUUAUUGUAUAUAAAUAAUUAUGAGGAUAUUAUAACAAGAUUUUCCCGUUCAUACUGAUUUUCUGGGUGUAUCAUGUAUUUGACAUGAAUGCAGUGCAUAAAGUUCAACAAAAACCAGCAUAUUAUGUGAACAUCACUGAAAUAUUUCUACGCUAAGAAUUCACAUCUUCGUAAUGAUGAAGUUAUUUUACAUUAAAAGGGGACUGUGUGCAAACGGAACAACAUGGGGAAGAUAAUUUAGUCAAUCCUGAACUUUGUACUCUCGACGAAUGGGCCGUCUCUCUCAUUAUCCAUUGACUUACUUAUUGUAUGGUAAUGAAAGCGGCUAGACCUGCAUCGAAACAAAUCGUAUCAAAGGAUGACGAUAUAGAAGAAGGUCGGGCCGACAAAGAAUAAGGAAAUCAACCUGUAAUCAGUCGCGUGACCGGCGAGGCGUCGCCCUUCGCCGCAGCCCUACAGGACGGCGAAGAGGAGCAGAAGCAGUAGGAGAGUCCAGCGCAUAGGAAAUUCGCGCUUCGCCGAUCGUCCUCCCAACGGUGACGGUGUUUGGGGACCUUCCCGAAACCGAAACCAGAUAGAAUCACAGAGUAGGUCAACCCGCAACUGACGUAGGUUCACCGAAUCCAAGUAAAAGAGAAGCAAGAGCAACAGCCAUAAGAGGCUCGGAGUUGUGCAGCUCACCGCAUAGGGUUUUUGGGCCAAAACUGGUGGUGGUCAAGAUUUUUCCGUUGUUGAACCCGGCGUAGAAGCACCAGGUGACGCUACAUGCCGAGACGUAGGGUACUUGAAAAUCGUGCUGAUCCUCGGGAUUCUCAUUUGAGUAGCAGACCGACUGGUUGCAACGUAAAGUUGUGUUGAGGAGCGAAUCUGGAGCCUUGGCGCACAACAGCCUAAAGAAGCACAGACGACAAUAUCUCGGUGGAAUGGUCAUACGCUCGAAAGAGGGGGAGGGGUUGCUAUUUUGGGGCUGGAGAAUAGAGCUAGAGGUUCUCACUCCGCCCCCGGUACGUUGCACGUGCACCUAACGCAGUUGCCGGCGGUGAAGGCGUAGCUACCGUUGGGGACACGCAGGCCGUAGUCGGGGGAUUCCGGGACAAUUGAGGGCGAGACGCAAGCUACCCGCCGCAGCCCUCAUAGUCAGUCGGGAAGCGAAUUUUAAGAGGAGGAAGAAGCCAGAGGGAUGACAAUCACCGGUAAGGGGGACGUCGAGAACUUGACCCGCGAGCAGGCUCUUGGGGUCGGAUAUGCUGUUGCGGCCGAUAAGCGACGCCUCCGACGAACCGAACUCGCUGGAGAUUUCCGCCAGUGUACUCCCCAGCUUCACUACGUGGGCGAGGUGAAUCGUGUGAUUGUCAACAUCAUCGCAGCUGCAAGGGAGGGGGAUGAAGAGCCGCUGCUCCCCGUUGAUCAGGGAGGCGUUCGCUAUGCCGUUCGCGGCGGCGAUCUGCUGAUAGGUCACCAACCCGCCGAAGAUCUCCCGGGAAACCGCCUCCAGAGAGUCACCAUUCUUCACAUCGUAGACCGGCUGCCUGUCUGAGACGCCUGUCCCGUUACCGCAGGUGCAGGUGAAGGGGAUCCGAACGGUGGUGUUGGCGGGGACUUUGGUCGAAGUCGGGGUGGUUUCGUUCAGGCCGUUGGCUCCAUAGAGAUCGUAGAUGGAAUCCACACCGAAGAGUCCCCUGAUAGCCUCGUAUGUUGUCUCCCUAGGGGGGACGUAGCCGGCCAAGGCCUGGCACUUAGACUUGGAGCUGCACCGGAAUUUAGGAGGGGGCUGAGAGACGCAGGGAAAGACGAGGAGGAAGACAAAGAGCAGCGGGAGUGGAAGAACCAUUGGAGCAGCGGAGCGUAUCAUCCUUUUCCUCACUGCCUUCUUUUGUUCUUCUUGAAGCACUUGUUGCUCCUGUUACCCUUUUAUGGUCUCCAGGACGCCGGAAGCAUCGAAGAAGUUAUCGAGAUCAACCAUCUUCCAGCCUUACGUCCCCCCCCCCCCCCCCUUCUCUCUCUCUCUCUCUCUCUCNNNNNNNNNNNNNNNNNNNNNNNNNNNNNNNNNNNNNNNNNNNNNNNNNNNNNNNNNNNNNNNNNNNNNNNNNNNNNNNNNNNNNNNNNNNNNNNNNNNNNNNNNNNNNNNNNNNNNNNNNNNNNNNNNNNNNNNNNNNNNNNNNNNNNNNNNNNNNNNNNNNNNNNNNNNNNNNNNNNNNNNNNNNNNNNNNNNNNNNNNNNNNNNNNNNNNNNNNNNNNNNNNNNNNNNNNNNNNNNNNNNNNNNNNNNNNNNNNNNNNNNNNNNNNNNNNNNNNNNNNNNNNNNNNNNNNNNNNNNNNNNNNNNNNNNNNNNNNNNNNNNNNNNNNNNNNNNNNNNNNNNNNNNNNNNNNNNNNNNNNNNNNNNNNNNNNNNNNNNNNNNNNNNNNNNNNNNNNNNNNNNNNNNNNNNNNNNNNNNNNNNNNNNNNNNNNNNNNNNNNNNNNNNNNNNNNNNNNNNNNNNNNNNNNNNNNNNNNNNNNNNNNNNNNNNNNNNNNNNNNNNNNNNNNNNNNNNNNNNNNNNNNNNNNNNNNNNNNNNNNNNNNNNNNNNNNNNNNNNNNNNNNNCCCCCCCCCCCCCCCCCUCUCUCUCUCUCUCUCUCUCUCAGAGUGUGUAAUAUCCGUCUAUGUCACGGUCACGGUCAGGCGUGAUGAAGAUAGGAAUGGAAGGAGAUUUCCUAGUAUACAUUAUCAGGAGGCUUCCAAGUCGAUCGUUUCCGUGGGUGCCAACCGCCACAACGACCACCACCUUUGCCAAAGCGAGGGGUUGAAUUCCAUAAAUAAUCUCGAGCCCCGGCAUGAUUCCCUUUCUUCCCUCUUUCCUACGUCAAUCAUCUAUAAAUAAACGAAGAGUUAGAGACAAAAGAUAGGGAUAUAUGCAUGAGGGUCCGUUGGGACCCCCCCUCCCUUCUCAUCUUCCGUAAUAAUACAGUGAGACCUAAUUGAUUUUCAUCACUAAAAAACAAUGUCACCGAAUUAGUCCCUUGAGAGUGAUAGCAAAGAUUUAAAAUUUUAACCAAUCACACUUACAGAAGAUGAACUCAACAUACCUUGGCACAAUGGAGAUUUUAAAUCUUGAAGAUUUCUUAUGGUUGAAAAAUCUGUUUAAUAAGAUUUUUCACAUUUUGGAGAGGAGGAUGAAAGACUAGAAAUGGAGGAGAAAAGGACAAGGGGAUAAAAAGGAUAAUGAGGUCAUGGGUGGGGACCAAUCGAGAGAGAGAUAAAGGGAAGAUAUAGAGCAGAGGGGAGAGAACAUGAAAGUGAGAGAGAGCGACGUGAGAGAGAGAGAGAGGGCGACGAGAGAAAGGGUGACAAGAGUGAGAGAGACGAGAGAGAGAGAGAGAGAGAGAGAGAGAGAGAGAGAGAGAGAGAGAGAGAGAGAGAGAGAGAGAGAGAGUGAAUGAAUGAAGGCUAAAAAGAACGAGGGAGAGGGAGAUCAAAAGAAGUCUCCCAAUCCAAAGAGAGGAAAGAAGAACAUAAGAACAAGAGAGAUAGGGAUGUCAAAGACAUAAAUCAUCAUUCACUAUCAUCCAUAAACAAGUUCUCACCAUUUAUAGAGGUAAGGAGAGGGAGAGGGCACCCAAAGGGGUAGUUAAUUGAGUGGUUAUUUGGGUGGUAGAGAGCGAUAGUUAUUUGGGGUCGGUAGAUCACCCCAUCGAAUAAGGUGAUAGGACACUCUUUUGGAGAAGGUUGGGCCUACUUUAGGAGGGCCCACUAGUUGGGGAUGCCUCUUCCUCCAUGGGCUCAUCUUCUUCAAGAUCUUGGGCUGAUUUCAUGGGUUGUACUAUUGGGUUGACCUAGAUGUAUGCAGUCCUCCUUGGGUGACUUGGCUCUAUAUUAUUGACUUGUGAUAUUGGGGCAUGGACCAGCCCAUUGAACUCUUCACUUGUUGUCAAAGAUACCUCAAUAAUUGUUAUAUUAUCUUUAUUUUCACCAUAUAAUUUAGAGUAAGAAUGGAUAGAUGUCAAGACAAUCUGUCUACAUGUUAAUCUUAUAGAACAAAUUUAUAUGAAAUAACUUAUAAUUUUUCUUAUGGAAGGAAAAAAAUUCGUACAAUUAUAAAGUAGAAAAUAAAUGAAGAAAUACUUUUAAACAUUUAUGAAAUAAAGAAAAAUUGUCAAAUUUAUUCCAAAAGAAUUCAUGUUAUGUCAUAAAUGCAUCAAAUAUGUUGAUUGUAGUGUCUAAAAUCAACAUAUUGAAAGCUUUAAUUAGCAAUGAAUUUGAGAUGAAAAAGUUGCGAGUAGCUAAGAAGGUUCUUAUAAUGGAGAUUCAAAAAAAUAAGGGUGAUAAAGAAUUAUAUUUGACUCAAGCUAAAUACAUUAAAAAAGGUACUUAUUCCCUUUGACAUGUGGGAUGCAAAGCAUGAUGAUGUUCAUGUUACUACACAUUUUGAACUUUCAAAUUCCUUAUCACCAUAGUUCCAAAAAUAUGAAUAAUUUAUGUCAUAUGUUUUGUACUUUAGUACAGUAAACACCAUUAUACAGACCAUAGUUUGCAUGACCUAAUAUAUCACAUGUAGUUAGUGUUAUUAGUUGAUAUAUGGCACAACUAAGUAAAGCACAUUGACAGUAUAGUUAAGUAGGUUUUUAGAUACUGGUGAGGUGCUAUUAAUGCAUGCUUAUAAUUUGUAAGAACUGGUGAUACAUGAUUGAAUUCAUUGAUUUAUAGUUUAGAUAAGAUCCUGAUAAAAUGAGGUCACCAAUUGAUUACAUAUUUUAAGUUAAUUGAUGUGUUGUUGAAAAACUUUCUUACCAACAAUAGUGAUUAAUUUUCCAUGAUAGAAGCAAAGUUUAUGGUAAAAAAGUUUUUCUUUGGACCGAAUUCAUGUCCAGAUUUUAUUAUUGUCAGUUUUGAUAGUUAGAGUGAUAUUGAUAUAUCUCAAGAUUAAAUGUAUUAUAAAAAGACAAAGCAUAUGGAUGUUAGAUAUCAUUUUAUCUUCAAUAUAAUUUAAAAGAGAUAUUAUUGAGCAGAAGAUUUGCAUUGAAGAAAAUAUAGUUAAUAUGUCAAGAAGGCAUAUUUCAUCUUCAAUGUUCCAAUAUUGUUUAAAUCUAAACGUAGUUGACAAUAUUUAAAAUUAACCUCAUAUGCAAAAAAACUAUGGAAGUUUUAUCUUAUUGUAGUUAUAAGGAGCUGAUAAAGCUUUGAAGAUGUUCAUGUUGACCAAGUCAAGAUGGAGAUUUUUCAGGGUGACUUGGUCAACCCUUCUUUUAAGAGAGGUUUGUCUAGACUCCACCAACCUUUUAAAAUUUUUAUUUAUGAUUGAUUUUUAGUAUAACACCCAUCCAGUCCCUUUUGUAACAUGGAUAUUAAAAGGGGGCUUGGGGAGAGAGAAAAGAGAGACAAAAAUCAUGGGUAUAGGAAACCCUGUUUUCUCUAGUGGCUGAAAUCUAGAUUCCAAAUCCUUGUCCUCUUCUCCUAUAUGAUAGCUCGUAUCAAUGCUGCAUUAACUCUAUGUAUUUCUAUACUUCGAUCCUCAUUGAAUACUUCUCAAUUUUUCCUUCUCAAUCUAGUGGUCUUGAGGUGUGUUAAUUUUCAGAUUAUUUUCUAUCAUUCCUAAGAAAAUUCAACAAAUUUAAGAUGUACAAAAUUUGAAAAGUAAAAUAAUUUAAGAAAUAUAUAUUUUUAUAAUAGAUUUUCCAAGGCUGUCACAUUGAAGAUCCAACUUGAUAAAUUAUCUAUGAUUUUCAGUUGAUAGAUUAAUUUUUGGAAUUACUUUAUUCUAAAAUUUAAUCAAAAUAAGCUAAAAAUAUGAAUUUGUGGGUUAAUGGCAUUAGCUAACAUCAACCACAAAGAAUACCCCCAAAUUCAGAGUCACUAAAAAUAUCUCGACCCAAAAAUUGAUUCAGUUAAAGCUAAAAUAGUUGAAAUAAAAUAUCAAUCAAAAAGGGCUUUUGUUGUUUGUAACAUGAUAGAAGAUUGAAUGAGGCUUUGCUAUAAUCUAAAAACUUCAAAACUAAGGAUAAAUAAAAGUCUACAGAAGAAUUAGAUGACAUAAUCAUGAAUUAGAUAUUGGCUUAAAUGCAAUCAAUUUCUUCAAGUGUGGUGCUCUGAAUGACUUUCUACGUCUUUUUCCAACUGAUGACUGACAUCAAUCAAUUCUGCUUGUUGAAAUCAAGUAGAGAAGGUAAUUCAACUCUGAGCAUGUAACAACAUAUUGAGAAGAAUUCUUAGAAGAAAAUUUCACCAUUUGUAUUGAAAGAAGAAUGGGGAAGAUUUGGGAAGAAAUUCAACCUCUAUAGAAGCUAAAUAAGGGAGAAAUUCAAAUGAAAUCUACCAUUUGUAUCAAAUGUAUAAUUUGGGCAACUCAAAUGUCUAUAGUAGUUAGAAGAGAAGGUUUUGAGCUAAGAGAAGGAUAGAUUGAUUGAGGAUAUGUUAUUCUUCUCGCAAAAUAACUUUCUAUUAUUUUCAACAUAUUUAUUACUACAAUCAAUGUGUAUGCCACUCGUUCGAAAACCUUAUAAAGAUUUGAUUUUUAAUUAGUUUUAAUCAAUUAUAAGUUAUAAUAAAAAAUGCAUUGAGUUACAACUCUAUUCUAAAUUGAUAUUUUUCAAUUUACUUGGCCAGUUUAUCUCUGAAGAAUCAAUCAAUUGUUCGACAUGUUUUUUUUUAUUGAUUUUGAAGAUUUUCAUCAAUUUUUCUGAAUUUUUAAUUUUUAUAAAUUUCCUUAGUAUUUUUACAAAAUAGAAAUUAAUGCUGAAAUAUUCCCAAAAUAUUUUGAAAAAUAAAAAAUGUGAGACAAUAUUUCACCAUAUCACAUGAUCAAUUUUAUCAUAUAAUUAUUAUAAAUCAUCAUCAAAUUCACAUAAAUAAUUUUAAAUCAAACAUUUCUAAUUUAAAGUAUUUUAUAAGCAUUUUAGUUAAAAUUAAAGUAUAAAUCAUAUAAAUAUUAAGGACAUUAUCAUGUAAAUAUUGAGAGUUAUCAUCCAUCCUCUUUAGACAACAUUAAAGCCUUGGUGCCAUAUUAAAACAUAUUUAUCUCUCCAUAUCAUUUGUUGUCUUGUUAGUAUUCUAUCCUCGUGCUCUCUUCCUUUUGAUGCUAUAUCAAGCCAUUAUUAAAUUCAUUAAGUCCUAAAUCUCUUUGCAUUCUCAAACAUGUCCUUGUGAUCAUAUAAUUUAGCAUAGUGGUGGUGAUAAGGCCUUGAAUUGUUGAUAGUAAAAAUCUUAGGCUUGGAUAGAUCUCAUAAUAUUUCACAAGUAGUAGAGAAUUAAGAAUUUAAGGUGAUAUAAUGAUAUUUACAUCAAAAUAGUCAAGGGAAUAAGAAAGUUAGGAGAUAAAAUUAUAGUAUAAGUGAUAGAAAAGAAAUCAGCCCUUCUCGAUGAAGAAGUGGCAUAGUUUUUCAUGUUGAUCUUUAAUAGUAGAAGACAAGGAUGUUGAUGCUUCAAUAUUUAUCUUUUUACUGUAUUAUCUAUUGGUGCCAUAGUGCGAAGAAUUUUAGGACUUAGCUCAAGGAGAGAAGAUGACUUGAUUAAGCUCAAAUUAAUACAUUCGCAUUCAUUGAAUAUCUAAUAGAAAAACUUCUCUUCUUCCUCUUCAAUGCACUACAAGGACCUUUGAGUAGAGGAAGAAUAUUGUGAAAGAAUAAAUGUUAUCAUUGAUGAAUAAUUUUUCAUGUUAGAGAAGAAUCAAAGUUAUAGGUAAAUCUCAUACGAACUUCUCAUAGAUUUUUAAGAUCUCUGAUAUCUAGAUUUAAUUAAAAUAUAUUUUAAUUCAAAGGUUGUGUGAAUUCAAUAUGACAUGUUCUUUUACUAUUUUGAAUAUUCUCUAAAGAGACCAACAUGCGAAUCUUUUAAUACAUUGUGUUCAUAUAUGAAGUGUGUCAGUUUUGAGAUCUGAUGAGAAUAUGGUAAGAUCUAUAUAGUGAACCUAAUAAGACAUGUCACGAAAAUAAUAAUUUUACUUUCAAAUUUUAUCUGAAUUUAAUAAAACAAAAUAUGAGACAUAAAUAUACUUUAUAAGUCAUGAUUUCAAUGUUUUAAAUCAUAACUUCUAUGUUGAGAGUGGUUCACAUGAUUUUCAACAUAUAUUCAAUAUUAUUUAAAAUAUCAUAUUCAAUGAAUUUAACACUUGAUAUAUCAUUAGACUGAUAUGAUGUUAAAAUCAUUUGAUUGUAAUGAAGUAAAAUAAUUGGUGCGUAAGUGACUAAAUAAAAUUUUAUAUUCAUAUUUUAUUUCACCAAAACUUGUUGAUUUGUUCAGUCAAAUCAUUACUUUAUUGGGUGUUAUAAUUUCUGUAAUAACGGUAAUUCACCUAUAACAUACAAGAUAAUAAAUUCUCAUGAUAUUGUAAUUCAACUAUUUAGGUUCAUACUAUGAGGCUUUCAUAUAUCAACUGGCUUCUCAUUUCUAUGAAUACAAUUUUGACAUAUUUACUUCUUACAUCACAAGGUAUAUUUUAUAAUGUAUAUGGUGCAUUCAUUUAUAUUUGUGUAUGUAUGUAUAUUGUUCAAACAUAAUUCAUUUAUUUGAUUACUCUCAAUUAAUAUUUGAUAGCUUUCUCAUCAUCAAAACAUACUAUCUUCAUGACAAAUAGAUUUUUGACCCAUGUUCUUUAACUUCUAUUAAUUUUGUUGAAAUAAAUGUAUCAUCAAUGGCUUCCCUAGUCAAUACAGAUUAUCACUUUAAAGUAUUAUUACAAGAAAAAAUAAAGAAAGAAGAAAAGAUGGAAUAAGAAUGAUUUUUUUAUAUCUAGUCUUUAAUGUAGGGCCUAACGAGUGUCCACAGGUCACCUCCAAGCCCACGUCUCACCUCCUAAUUGCUUGGAUCUCACUAUAGGAAACCGUACACAACCAAUACAGAAAAUAGAGAACUUGUAGUUAUCCGGAAGUUGAGUUCCUUGACCAUAAAAUAAUACAUGUAUCUUCUCGUUGCCCUUAGAGUUAUUUCUAGACCCCUGUCAUAUAUUUUCUGGAGAUCUCGUUUUUUAUGAUGCGCUUGUUCAGAUGGGUUGGUUUUGAAAUGAUGACCGCUCUUAGAGUAAUGUUAGUUCCAUGGAAAUCACCGAAGGCUUGCAGAAAUUCGAAAGCAUCUUCACCUGCUUGUUGUUAGAUUAAUCUGAGUUCAUGAUUAGAAUUAUAAGAAGACAGCGGGACUCCUCUCUGGUUCUUGAUCUUUACCGUUGAACUUGCGUCAGCGGGGGGAUUUGCCUGCUUCUUCAUCACCGAUGGACAUUAACCUGGACUUUGACUAGUCAACCCAAUUCUUGCGGGUUGACCGGAGUCAGCCCAUUUAUCUUGAUAGAAACAUGUAUUGGAAAAAUGUUCCGUAUUAAUCAGGCAUUAUGUGAACGGAUUGCGAUUACUAAACAUUCGACUAAACAACAUACUCGGGUGAUUGAAAUUGUCGGGUUUUUUAGUCUAAGCCGCUGCAUAAAUUUUACAAACCGGUCCUCAGUCCCAAUGCAUGUCUCUAUCACCUCGAGGUCACUAUAUAUUGUUUGUAUUUUAUUUAAAGGUUUUGCGGUGAGUAAAAAGAAUGUGGCUGUGAUAAGUGAUGAUGACGAUUUCCAUGACGUUACGCAACACUUCGAUGCCCCGUCACGGUGAAGUGGAGGGCUUCUUGACGUCCAUUUCCGCCCGCAUAGACUGCGAAAUACUUCUACUUUUGUUGACAGGAGACGAUCGACUGGUCUUCUGCAAGCCGGCGGAGCAUCCGCUGAUCCCUGCGCAGAGCUGAGGAGAGGAUGGACGGGACGAUCCGGUGCUCUGCCAAUUACGUCCCGUUGACCCCGAUCAGCUUCCUGGAGCGCUCGGCGAUAGUUUACGCGGAUCGGCCGGCGGUGGUCGACGGCUCGAGGAGGUUCACCUGGAGGGAAACGCGAGGCCGGUGCCUGAGGCUGGCAUCGGCCCUCGCUCAGCUGGGGAUCAACCGCGGAGAUGUGGUGAGUUCCCUUUGACCCUCGUAGAGCAUGCGAAACUUGUUUUAUGAGGUCCCGUUGUUGUUGUCACCCAAGCGUUUUUUAUUUUUUCUUCCCAAUAUCCAGUCGAUCUCGUUGUUGGGCUCGCCGUGGAUUUUUGAAGCGUCGUUCUUUUUCAAUUAGUUUUCCUAUGGGGGAUGCGUCUCCGUUCGAUAAGGAUAAAAAAUUUGUCUUGCGGCUGCGUGCGCGUUUUGGAAAAACUGAAUCAACACCUCCGUUCCCCUUUUUUUUCUUCGUUGUAGGUGAAGGGUUUCCGCUGUUUUGAUUAUAAACAUGCAUCAUGUGUAAUAGCGGCCGUAAAUUUUAAACUCCACAAAGAUCUAUGUAAAAUUCUGGGUAAUCCCUUUCGUUUCUGUGUCUUUAGUUUUUUUACUUCUGCUCAUUUGAUUCCCUCCACUUGCGCAGACUGAAUCCACAUCCUACCUCCUUUUCUAGUGCAUUUUAUCGGCGCAUCUUGCUAAUUUAAUUAGAUCUUUUAAUUAUUCAUCUUCUCAGGAGUCCAUAGGCAUAAUUUAUGACCGGUAUAAUCAUGUCUGUAGGAUGGAACUUUACCUUUCUUUGUCAUCGCUUUGAUUGUCUGACAUAUGUUGCUGCACCACUCCUGGUUCAUCUCAGAUUCGGAUUUCGUUUCAUAAAAAUGCUUCCUUUUUGACCUCACACCGGCAGACCUGGUAGAACCAUGCGCCGCCACCGUUGGAAACAAUGCGUGUUACCACCAACCCUCCUGAGGAACUUGUUCCUUGUUAUUUACCCCUACAUUGCCGCGGAUUAUACCUCACAUGGUCGAACUUUUCUGCCCAGGAAAAAUAAUUACUCAUGCACUUCGCUUGGUCGGGGUGAGGGUAAGUUCCGGCAACUCCUGUGACUGGAUUUUUUCUGACCAAGAUUACAACUCGGACGCAAGUUUCUUGAGUUGUACCUCGUUUCUGCUGACUUCCCCUCCCGCCUGUAACCUGUUUGAGUUUUUGCCCGUGGCUGGAACGCUUAUCUUCCUUCCUGUUCUCGUAUCGAAAACUUGGGAAAUCUUCCUCUUUCGUCUUCCUCGGUGGAUACCUCUGAUCUCUGUUCCUCCGCACUUUGAUUCAGGUGUCUGUUCUGGCCCGGAAUAUUCCGGCGCUGUACGAGCUCCACUUCGGCGCUCCCAUGGCCGGCGCGGUCCUCUGCACGAUGAACACGCGCCACAACUCCGCCCUGUUGUCGGUCCUCCUCAAGCACUCGGGGGCCAGAGUCUUGUUCGUCGAUCACCCUUUCCUCGAGGUCGCCAUGGGAUCCUUCAAGCUGCUAUCGGAGGCGAACCAGACGCCUACUCCCCUGCUGGUGGUCAUAUCGCAGUCUUCCUCCACCGGCCGCUCGCCGGCGAGCCUGGACUACGAGGAUCUCCUCCGUCGAGCAGACCCUAAUUUCGAGAUCCGGUGGCCGGCGGACGAGUGCGAUCCGAUAUCGCUCAACUACACCUCCGGCACCACCUCCAGUCCCAAGGGGGUCGUCUACAGCCACCGCGGCGCGUACCUCAACGCCAUCGCCACCGUCCUCCUCAGCAACGUCCCCUCCGUACCGGUGUACCUGUGGACGGUGCCCAUGUUCCACUGCAACGGCUGGUGCAUGGCGUGGGGCGUCGCUGCGCAGGGCGGAACCAGCGUGUGCCUCCGGCAGGUCUCCGCCGGCGCCAUCUUCGCCGCCAUCGCCGAGCACGGGGUGACCCACAUGGGCGGCGCGCCGACGGUGCUCAACACAAUCGUCAACUCGCCGGAGGUGGAGCAGCGGCGGAGGAACAGGCCACUGGCUACCGGAAAGGUGGUGAGGGUGAUGACCGGCGGAGCGCCGCCGCCGCCGGAGGUGUUGUUCAGGAUGGAGGAGCUGGGGUUCGAGGUGACGCACUCGUACGGGCUGACGGAGACCUACGGGCCGGCCACAGUCUGCGCUUGGAAGCCGGAGUGGGACGCGCUGCCGGCUCAGGAGCGGGCGAGGCUCAAGGCCCGGCAGGGGCUGCAGCACGUCGGGCUGGAGGCAGUGGACGUGAAGGACCCCGCCACCAUGGAGAGCGUCUCCGCGGACGGGAGGACCAUGGGGGAGGUAAUGUUUAGGGGGAACACGGUGAUGAGCGGGUACUACAAGGAUGGCGGCGCCACCAGGCAGGCCCUCGCCGGCGGGUGGCUCCGGUCCGGGGACCUGGGGGUGCGGCACGGCGACGGGUACAUCGAGCUCAAGGACAGGUCCAAGGACAUCAUCAUCUCCGGGGGGGAGAACAUCAGCACCAUAGAAGUGGAGGCGGCGCUGUACGGGCACGCGGCGGUGCUGGAGGCGGCGGUGGUGGGGCGGGCCGACGAGCACUGGGGAGAGACGCCUUGCGCGUUCGUGAAGCUCAGGGAGGGCGCGCGGGUGGCGGCGGAGGAGCUCGUGGAGUUCUGCAAGGCGCGGCUGCCGCGAUACAUGGCGCCGAGGACCGUCGUGUUCGUGGAGGAGCUUCCCAAAACCUCCACGGGGAAGACGCAGAAGUUCGUCCUCAGAGAGAGGGCAAGGGCCAUGGGGGGCUCCCGCAGCAAGCUCUGACGACGGCGCAUCCAUCCGUCACCUAUCUCUCUCUCUCUCUCUUUCUGCCGUCGUUUAAUCGCGAUAAUAAACUCAUUAAUUCAUAGAUAUUAGUUACAACUUAGUCCAUGUUUGGCGCUGCAACUGAGGAUCUCAAUUAAUCCUUCAAUGUAAACCGGUGACACCUCGUACGAAAUCUCACUGCUUAACUCCAGAUUUCUUAUGGGAUCCGGUUGUAACCCUCCCACUAGGGAGGGUUAACCUCGUUCCCAUUAUCUACCCGGCUAUUGAAUUCAUGUCCCUGUGCCCGUUAUGUAGCUUAGUGGUGGCGAUGAUGAUCCAUGUCCGUAUAAAAUUUGUUGACAAGAGAAACCUUGUGCCCUGACAGAUCUCAUAAUAUCACACGGCUCAAUAGAGAAUUGAGGAUUUGAGAUGAAAGAGACAUAUCGACGAUGAUGCACACGAUGAUUUACAUUGAAAGAAUCAAAGGAAAAAGAAAGAUAAAAGACAAUCGAAAUCUGAACCAUAGGAAAUAAGUCAGCCCUCCUCCAUGGAAAAGCUUCACCUUUUUUCUGCUCUAAUCAUCCACCAGUCCCUUUCCCAAGAUCAGGUCAAACAACGGUCAUCCAACAGCAAAUGCGGCCCACUCACUUUAUAAGAAACCAAGAUAAAAGAGCUUGACUAAACGUUGUUUUUACGACUGCAACAUGUGCUCGUAUGUAUUCAAAGCUAAGGUGUGAUAAUUAUCUAGGUUAAAAUGAAGUAUUUAAAUAUUUUAUCAUUUCAAGCUUCAUUUUUAUAAAAAAACAAGAUUUUCCUGUUCAAACUGAGUAUUUAAUUUAUUAACCAUUUAACUUAAAUGCAGUGCAUAAAGUUUAUAACAAAUCGUCAUAUGAUGUGAAAAUCGCAGAAACAUGUGACUAAACUGAUUGAUACUGCAUUAGGAAUUCACAUCUUCAUGAUGACAAAGUUUUUUUUUUCAUUAAAAGGGACUCUAUGCAAUUGGAACAACAUAAGAGAAGAUAAUUUAAGAGGCUGACCCAUCAAAUGAUAACAUUAGUUUUAGAUUUAUUUCAGUUUACGUUUAACUUUUGUCAUGAAUGAUAAUUUCUAGACGUUUGCUAGAAAUAAUAGAUAGAACUCAAUGAAUACUUGAUAAAAGGCUGUUUUUCUGUCUGAAAUUCUUUGUAAUUCAUUGUGAGUCAUCCCAAGAAUAAUUUGAAAUCAUUUUCUAUCAAUUUUGAUCAAUAGAUUGAGCUUAAAAUCCUUGCCAUUUUUUUGUGAAUGCAGAUGGAAUUUAUGAGAUAUUUUCCUAAUUUUGGAUGGGCUCAACAAGUUUAUGGUUUCAUUUUUAAUUGUUUAAUCCUUAAAAACUGAUGUAAAUUUAAUUAUUUUUCUACAUGUGUUAACACCUUUUUCGUGAGUUGUCUCUUACAUAGUUGUCCAGAAAUUGUGGUCAACGUGGCCUAAGACGUGUUGAGCCAUGAUUUUCUCUCUCCUAAUUAUCAUCUCUAUUUUCUCUCCUAUUUUCUCACUAAAACUCUAAAGAUCUCUUCAAAACCCCACAUCUAUCUCCCUAAAUUUUUCCCUCGAAAUUCCUUUGAAAUCUUGCACCUAUCUCUCUAUUCCCUCUUUACUUUAUUCUCUCUCUCUUGCUUUCUUUUUUUUUCUCUAAAUUCCUUCGAAAUCCUAUUUCUACCCUCCUAAUUUUCUCUUCCAAAUUUCUCUCUCUUUUAUUAUUCUUUCAUCUGAAUAAUAAGAGGCAAAUUAUAAUUUCAUAUUAUUCAUAGUUAUGUUUUAUUUAAAUUAUUAAAAGUAUAAAAUCAUUAUAAAAUUCUUAAAAAAAUUAGAAUUCCUUAAAAGUUAAAAGCAAGAUUUAUAUUCAUAAAAAAUUAUUUCUACUCCAUGUGUUUGACUUGAGGCUCAUUUUUAUACUAAAUUUUUGUUAAGUUUUAGGGAUAAAUAUCAAUACAUAGUGAGUUUAUAACACCAAUGACAAAUACCCAUCAAACAUCAUAUAAUUCCAUAAGAAAUUGAGUUUGCACUAGUGGGGAGGUAUCAAACUUGUCUUGAGAGGGAGAUGGGUCCAAUGGAGAUAUGAGUUCACUUGAUGAGUGAUAAUGUGUCAUUUAUCUAUGUUAAUCAAUGAAAAAUGAUUAGAAAUGUCACAUUAAUUGAUGUUAAAUACAAUGAUAUUAUAUGAAAAAUGAUAAAAUGCUUUUUAUAACUCAUUGCAUCAAAAUUAUCUCAUUUGAGUAUUAUUCUUGAGAAAUGUUUUAGUGAUUUAAUUUAUGCUAACAUGAAUAUCUAAGGCAAGUACCUUGAGAAAUAUUUUCUUGGGCUGCAGAAAAAUCAGAAGAAUGAAAGUUAGAGUUUCCUUAAUUUAUUGUAAUUUUGUUAGACUUAUAUUGGGCAAGAUAGUGGGCUGAUUACACAUGCCCACCAUCAAGCCCAAUAUCAGGCCCAAUACUCAACCCAUUUCAAUGGGGGGUUAAAAGGGAAGAGAAGAGGAGAGAGAAAUGGGGAUUGGGCGGACUGCGACGGCUAGGACACGGCGACGGCUGGCCUCUCCACGUGACAGGCGGAGAUGGUGACGACGAAGCGGUGGCACGGCGGCGUGGAGACUGCUAGGGCACAGCAACAGCUAGCCUCUCUGUGUGACAGGCGGAGACGGUGAUAGUGAAGCAGUGGCACGGCGGUGUGGAGAUGGUGAUGGAAGCUACGGCGGACAAAGCUUGUUCACCACAAAAUGGCUGAGGUGGCAAUGGCAACGAUGGUUGCUGCGAGCUUCCCUAAUGCGUGAUAGGCAUAGGUGGAGUCAGGCACGGCGGCAGCAGCGGCAUUCACAUCGAUUUUAACCCCCUUUCUUCCCCUUCUCAAACCCAUUUUGUGUGACAGAUGAAGAGGAGCGAGAAUGCCAUAGUUUAGGAAUUUUUAGCAUUUUCAUUUACUUUUCUUUCUGUAAUUUACUUGUUCGUUCUUUCUCAAAUAUUUGGGUUAUUUACAUUUCUUAAUUUCAGUAAUUUACAGCUUUCUUUGUCACUUCAUUUUAUUGUUCUUCUUUAGAUUUCUGAGUGACACAGGGAUUUGAAGAAGAAUUCUUAAAAUUUGAUUGUUUUAUUGAUUUCCUCACCACUCAUUCUUCUACUAAUCCAUGAGUGACACAUGGGUCAGUAAAGGAUGAUCAUUUUCUAGGUUUUAAUUUAUUUUUCUGUAUAUCUUUGAGUUCUUCUAUGCUAGGUGGGUGACACACUUGAUAUAGUUGAAUUCAAUUAAUUUUUUUAUUUUAAAGCUAAUCACUCUAUUUAUUCACAUAACUCUUUUUAUUCCCUUUGAUUAAAAAAAUAAUUAUUUGAGAAUAUGACUUGAUAUCAUAAUUUGACAAUCAUCUCUAAGGAUCGACUUGAACCACUAGAAUUUCAAGUUAAUUUCUAUGUUUUGAGUUUUGAUAAAAAUUUAAAUUUGACGUAUUUUAUUUCAACAACUAGAGUGCGAUCAAUGAGGGAGAUGGUGGGACUUCCAUAGUAAAUAGGUCUUGAGCAGCCUCAAUAUGAGAGUAAGUCAAAGUGUCAUCCACUAAUGUAGGGCCAUUUAAAGGUAGAGAGGUGAGUGUAAAAGGUCCAAGAAUACCAAGCUACUCGAGGGAGAAAUAGAUAUCUAUAGAAUAUCUGAUCAACCUUCAAAAGGAAACACAAAUUCAUAGAAAAUAACAUGUCAAAAAAUUUAAAGGCCCAAGUAGAGAUAGAGAUGUAAUGAAAACCAAGAUGUAAGGAGCUGUAGUCAAGAAAGACAACGAUCAGAUCAUUGGGUAAGCUUGUGUGCAAGGUAAGGUUUGGGAUAAUAAACACAACCAAGGGUACAAAGGAAUGGGUAAUUGGUUGUAUCUUGAAAAUGAAAUAGUAAGUGGAUUGGUUUUGAAGGAUGGGUGUAGGUAGAAGAUGAUUUAUGAGGCAAGUAAUUAUAGAGAUGACUUCGUCCGAGAAUUGAUGUAGCAUAGAGGCAUUAUGAAGAAGAGCGAGGGCAAUUUGAGCUAACAAUGUUUAUGUUUUGUUGUGUUGUUGUACUCAUGGAUAUGAGAGCAAGAGACCAAUGGUGAAUGUCACAUUAUUGGAGAUGACGAUGAAGUGAUGUAUACUCUCUACCCUAAUCAGAUUACAAGGCAAUAAUGUUAGUAACAAAUUGACAUUUGAGUUGAUGUUGGAAUUGAAUGAAUAUAUCAAGAACGUCACUUUUCUACUUGAGUGAAAAAAGUUAGAUAUGUUUACUAUAAUCAUCAAUGAAAAUGACAUAAUAAGAGAGUCCAUAAUGAAAUUGGUCUACAAAAGGUCCCCAAAGAUUAGAAUGAACUAAUUGUGGACAAUUUUAAGUUAUAGAAGACGAUUUAGAAAAAGGUAGCUUAUGACUCUUUGAGAAGAAACAUGAUUCACAAAGAGAUUGACUAGGAUAAUGAGUAGUAGGUAGGCCAGAUUGUUAGAUGAUGUUACAUAGAUCUGAAAAAUUGGGUCUCCUAAUCUUACAUGUCAUAUUGGAGAAGAGACAUGUUCCCCAAGACAAAUAGUAGGUACUUACUAGAAUAUGGGAGGUGGUGGAUAUCAUCUUUAAGUCAUCCUUGGAGAAGAACUUUUCUCGACAUCAAGUCCUUCACAAGAUAAUAAGAUGGGUAGAACUCAAUGGAGGCAUUAUUGACAUAGGUAAGCUUUUAAAUUGAAAGUAAAUUACAAGUGAUGUUUGGAACAUGAAAGACAUUAUUUAACUUACGGGAGUGUGAAGGAAUGUGAAAUAUGGAAGAUCAAUGAGAUGAGAUGGGUAUACCAUCAUCAUUUUUGACUUAUAAUUUGUCAAAACAUGUGUAAAUUAUAGGGUCAAUUAGUGUGUUAUAAUAUAGAGUGACAUGAUACGUAGCUCUUCUAUCUAUAUACCAUGUUGUUGAACUAUUUAUCGAGGGUUCUCCAAGUGUAGAUCCUCUAGAUGAUGUUGGUGAAGUACCAUAUGUGGAUGUGUAGGCAAUUAGAGUGUGAUGGUCAUUUUAUGGUUGGUCUUGUCAUGAGAGUUGAACAUUGGUGAAACUAAAUGAAAAGUUAUUGUUGAAACAUUUACCACACUCUAAGCCACGAUGCCUAAAUUGAAGACAAAUAUGACAUCAGGUACACAUUGUUUCCCAUGACCACAUUUCUAUCCUCUAUUACGACCACAUCCUCUAUUGGUAGGCUCACUUAUAUUCACAAGGUUGACUGAUGGAUACUCAUGAGUACGAUGAGUGAUUUGAUAUUAUGUCAUAAUUAUUUCAUGUGUCAUUAAAUGUGCAAGAACAUCCUCUAAAGUGAUAAGUUAUGUGCGAGUAGUCAAACUUGUAAUAAAAGCUUCAUAACUUGACCCUAGUCCUCUGAGUACUAUGAUAAUUAGUUCUUGAUCAUUUAUUGGGUUACCAAUAAUAGAAAAUUAAUCUGUAAUGAUCUUGAUAGAUUAAACAUAUUCUUGAAUAGAAGUUGUACCACAUUGUGAGGCAUGUAAUUUGGUAUGUAAUUAUAAAAUUUUAGAUCUAGAGCAAGAGAAGAAUUCUCUAACUAAUGAAUCUCAUACUUUAGAAAUAUUAUUUCCAUGUAUUAAUAGAAAGAUGGACUCUAUAAGAGAUGAUAAAAUCUAUGAAACGACAAUCUGAUUAUUUCAUUUUCAUAUAAGAAAUUCAGGAUUUGGGUGUGAGACCUUAUUUUCAUCAAUGAUAGUUACUGAUGGAGGUGGAGUAGAACCUUCAACCAUGGAGAUGAAUUCAUGACUCUUCAAGAGUGGAAGAAAUUAAGUCUUCACAAUAGGUAUGUAUUUCUAAGAUAACUUCAACAAAAAAAAGGGUAGGACAUUUGGUGGUGCUGUCAUCAAUCUAGAUGUUGUUUAGUAGCUUGGCUUUGAUACCAAGAAAGGAAUAUACUGAUAGUAAUGAGAGAAGAGAAUGAUAAGAAUGAAUUAGAAGGAUAAUGUCCUUUUAAGCCUUAAAUGAUAUAUAAGUUUGUGUGUUACAAGUAUUGUUAGGAGUGUCCUUUCAUAGAGCUAGAGAUAACUCCUAAAAUUCUUAGAGCUUAAGGUGAGAAGGUGAGGAGGAGAACAGUCCAUCAAUGGAUCUCCACUUAAUAGGAGAAGGUGAAGGGUUCAUGUCUCUAAAGGGAUGAGUCAUAAAUGGACCAUUCCUUAUUGUGGGGAGGUGAAUUGCUCCCUUGGUCAUAGAUGAGGAGCUAACUAGAUUUGAUAACAGUUUUGAAGUCUUGGUCAUCUAAUUGCCUCAAAGUUAGGAUGUUAGAGCAUAAUUUAGGAAUAUAUAAAAUAUUCUUUAAAGUCAUACAUAUCACUUAUGGUAUUUGACAAUCAUAUCACCUCUGCCAUAGAUAUCAACUUAUGAACCAUCUCCAAAUUUGACAUUCUCAUUAAUAAAUUUAACAAGGUCUUGAAAUAACUCAUUUUUUCAAGUCAUGUGACUACUUGCACUAGUGUCUAAGUUCCAUAGAUCUUCAUCUAGUGUCUCAUCACCAUUGCCUUGAAAAAAUACCUCAUCUUCAAUUGCCAUCAACAAGGUUGAUUAUGGCUUUUCUUCGGUAUCAACUAGAUUCGCCUUCUCAUCCUUUUUUCCCUUGCAACAUUUUGAAGUAAAAUGUCUAUAUUUCUAACAAUUAAAACACUUUAUCUUAUACUUAUCUCAGAACUUAUCAACUCCUUCCCUUCUUUGCCCGCCAUUGCUUCAGCCAUGACCAUCACUCUGUCCAUGGCCACAUCCAUAGUCACAUCCUUGAGAGCUACCUCAAUCUUCCUUUGUCUUGUGUGCUUCACGAGCAAAAAGAACUUCUCCCUUUUUAUUUGUUGAUCUCAAAGCUUGUCUUUGUAGAUCUUUAAAGAUCCAAUAGCCUCCAACAUCAUGACAUCAAAAUCUACAAAUUGCUCUAUUGAAGAGGUAAUAGAGUCAAACUUUGUUAGGGCUGCUUGCAAAAACUUUACAAUAACUUUGUCCUCUUAUAGCCACUCUCCUAAGCUGUGUAUUUGAGUAACAACUUAGAAGAGUUUUCCUACAAAGUCAGUGAAAAAUUCUUCAUCUCUCAUAGUAAGAGUUUCAUAAUCUCACUUCAAGCCUUGUAACCUUACUUUUUUGACCCAAGCAAUGUCCAUGUUCAUAGUGUGAAGUAUCUCCCAUAUUUCUUUCGUUGAUUUCUUGAUGUCCAAUUGUGUUAGGACAUCUUCAGUGACCACUCUAAAAUCACUGAGAGAGUUUAGCAAUAUCUUUUUUCUUCACCACUGCACCUUAAAUUGCAUCCCACAAAUUGUUUGCCUUGAAGAAAACUUAUAUCAUCAUAGAUCAAAGAGGAUAAUUAUUAAUAGGGAUUUUGAGCAACACCCUCCCACCAAGGUAGCAAGGGAGGAGCCCAUUUCAACCCAUUUUCAACAAGGCCCAAAGGAGGAUCAAGGCAUAGACUUGGGCCUAGAUAAGGCCUAUUCUCAAGGGGAAGGGUUGUGUUUCUAUAAAGGGGUGUUUCAUCAACCACCAUCCUCUCUCACAAAGACUACCUAAGCACCACUUAGAAAUUUGAUACUUUUUGACCAAGGCAUUGAUAAAAAAGUAUCAAGAAAAGGUCAAGAUGUGAAGGACAACCUCUAACCAAUCCUAGAGAAGUCAAGCCAACCAAAGGGGUCAACCAGGAGGUACUAAGCACCUCUUUGCUAUAUAUACCUUCUCUCUCUUAUAAUCACCUCUAAGAACUUUCUAUAAAAAGGGUGCUUGUGUAUUUUAAGGGGAAGAAGCUUAUGAAUGAGUUAUUUUGAAGUUAUAUCUUCAAAAAUUCACCCUUAGUCAAAUGGAGGUUGUGAGGAUCAACGGUCUGUAAGGAGAGGCUGUGAGGGUCAACCGCCCAACUUGGGGGAAGCCGUGAGGGUCAUCAUCACCACAUCACUUCCGACCAUUUCACCUUUCUUAUCUUGUCACACUAUCAUUCACUACAUUUUGAAGUCAUUGAAAUCAAUUUCAUGGUCAGUAAGUCAACUCAAGAGGUACGCGAUGACUUAUAUAUUUUGGUGAAAUCUGAUUUUAUCUUAAUACUUCUAUUGUUCUAUUACCUAAGAGUGAUCUCAAACCUUAGAAUAGAUUUGAUCUGACUCAAUUAAGUUUGGUCAAACCUAGAUCAAAUGAUGACUUACAAUCUUAUAAUCUUAAGAUGUAGGAAUUCGAUCUAUCUUUAGAUUUCUCUCUAAAACAUCAAGUAAAAUCUUGAGAACCUGAAAUUAAAAGUUAUUAUCUUAUUUGUUCAUAUCUUAAUUUGGGUUUUCUCAUAAUCAUCGCACAUCAAAUUAUUUUUGGAGAGCAUAGGAAGGUAGAUAGGUAGAGAUGACUCACAUGUCACUCUUGUCAUCUUGAUAGUCGUCCUAGCUCCAUCUAUCGGAGGCCGGCUAUCCAUCAUUGAGGCUGCCUUCAAUUACAUUGCCAUUGCUUUUUUAAUUCUUGGAUUAGAAAGAACCUACUUUGAUACCAAAUGUUGGUAAUCAAAUUCAGGUUGUGUGCAACUAUUGAAAAGAUUGUAGAGAGAGAGAACUUAAUAGAAUGAAAAGAACAUUAAGAAACUUCUUAUUACUCUUUAAUCAAGGAGACUAUACACCUUUUUAUAAAGUAUGGCAUGAUGAAACUUGGCAUACAUGAAUUUGCCAUUAAUCUGGAAAAUGACGAACACCUGAUGAUCUUUCUAAUCUUUUCUUUUAUUUGAUCCUCAUAAUCAAAACUUCUUUCUUAUGGAUGGAGUGUCUCUAUACGAUUUGUAUUAUCUAGUUGUGUUAAAACCCUCAAAUAAGCUUUAUAUAAUACACUCCUUUAUCAUAUUAUGAUUUUGCCUAUGAUAACUCAUUAUAUCACAAAUUAUUUAUAAUUAUAUUAAUAUUCAAUUUGAUUAUUAAAGUCACCAUAAUGAAAUUUGACUCCAACAAUCUCCGACUUGACUUUAUCUAAUCUUCUUUAAAUUGGAUAAUCAUGUGGACUGAGCACAACCUUAAUAUUUAUAAAUAAUAUCUUCAUUUUGAUCAUAAUAUAUCUCAAAAGUACUAUUCAUGACAAUAAUACAAUGUUAAGGAUGUAUGUCCUUUAUAUGCACUAAGAUACUCAUGAUCAAUAUUAAAACCAAACAUCUAUGUAAUAUUUAAAGAAUGUUUUAUGAAUGCACUCACAAUGUCAUGACAAAAUAAAUCAUGUUUUUCUCCCAUUUAUCUAACAAUAAAUGAUAAAUGAUAGUUCAUAAAGAACUAGCAUAUAAAUAUCAGAUGUGUGAUAUCCAUAUUACAUUAGUAUCUAAAUAUAUGUUAUAUCUUCUUGAAAAUUGAUCAAUCCCAUCUUACAAAUAAGUCCACUACAGGUACUUAGUGGAAGUGACUUCGUAAGAGGAUUAGUUAAUAUAUAGUCAACUUUAAUUUGAUCAAUUGACACUAAUUGAUCUCUAAUUCUCUCUUUCAUAACCAAGAACUGAAUCUCUAUGUGCUUACAAGUUGAUGCAAGAUAAAUUGGUAAUCUCCACCUUGACAGCAAAGUACCGGGGGGAGGAGAACAAUGUGCAAGGGAAUGAUUCUUAUAACCCAUGCUUAAUGCUGUCCUUGGGGGGUAUAGCAAGUGAAUGUUGACUCAACUAGGUGCAAGCAGGAGCUGAGGAGCAGGGGGACCGGCGACACAUCGUGUCGGGCAUUGCCAAAAUGCUAGAGUAGGGUGAGGUUCCUCCACUUCCUCUUCUGGGCGGCUAGGGCCCAACAUCACAAACAUGGCUGGGCAGUAGAUGCUCAAUGACCAAGUGACAACCCUGGUGCACACGUCAAAACAGCACGAUGGCGAAGUCUAUCUCAUCCCAACCUGACUUGGCCCGACGGCAGUGGAGCAAGUGUGAGAAGGUACUGAGAAUAGUAAAUGACUCCGGGGUUGUAGACUAACUUGUAGGCCGAGGCCCAGUGGCGGAGUGGGGUUCUCAUGCAUGGCGGGGUCGUCAGCAGCGUGACGACGUGUGCACUAGUGAUGGUGAAUAGAAUCACAGGCAAGUGCAUGACUUGCAUGUAGCUUUGCACGCAAGGGGGGCACUAAGGUGGGUACCAGACACACACAUGAUGAGCCGUGGCAUUCGAGUGCACAGUAGUCAUGCUAUGUGAACGCCUAGUUGGUCUAGGGGAAGGGGCAUUGCAAGACGACCCCGAGGUUGCAUCGGUGAGCGUUCCAAGUCAGGCGUGGUGGUAGACCUCGUGAAGCAGGCAUGAGGCGCACAACAAGCAUGCAGUGCGGGCACAUAGGCUCGACAUAGUUCAACGUCGAGUGCGGAGCGGAGCGUGAGGCAGACGCUCGACUUGGGCACUCGAUGGGCAGGCACUCAAGGUGGGCGCACUGGCGGUGGUGCGUCAAGGCUGGUGGCUCCACAGUGACAGCGAGGGUCGGCCAGCACCCUAUUUCCCCACAAACUCCCUCUCUUCCUCUCUUUAAGGUUUCUAAAACAAAAGUACACGUUCUUCUUCAAAAGGGGGGUGGCUCUCCACUCUCUUAUAUAGAGGCCCACAUGGGCUGAGGGUGGAGGGCCACGCUUGAGGUUCAAGGCACCAAACCCCCAAAAAAGGAACACAUGUAGCAUCCAGGAUAAACCCUCUAUUCUGAUUGGGCCUAAAUGUUAGUGGCCCAAGAGAAGAGAGGUGAGGGGAAGAGAAGGACGCCUACUUCUCCAAUUGGGCCUGAACACAUAUGGCCCAAGGAGAAGGGAGAGAGGAGGGGGGGGGGGUGAGAAAUAGAGGAAAACAAAAGAAACCAAAGGGGAAUGGGCUUUUCCCUGUCCCCGCCAUGGACCUUAGGGGUGGGAGACCCCCACGCAUGGCAGAGCUGAAGCCGAUGUAGUUUGUGGACCUAGGCAGUGUAGCAGAACCCUAGGUCCUUUGUUUUUUAUUGCGCCUCUUAUUUAGUUGAAUGUGUGAAGGCAGGAUCUCCUUUGUCACUUGCAGCAUGUGUAGUGGUGGUGACGGAUCCUGUUCUCCACCACAAGUACUCGAGCUCUUAUUUUUAUUAGAAAAUUUGACAAUAACUUUAUUAUCACAAUAUAAGUUUCUAUAUAGAAUCCACAACUCUCAAUUGUGCAAUGAAGUGCUUCAUCUAUAUAACUUUCAAAGAUGUAUAAAAGUAAGUUAUAUAAUUAAUUUCCAUUGUAGAUGUUGCAACUAUCUUCUACUUAGUAUUAGACCAUGAGAUAAAUCCUCUAGUAAGAACACAUAGUCCGAAGUUGAUCUUUAUAUGUUUGAACAUUUAGCAAAGUCUAAGUUAGAGUAUUUAAUGACCUCCAAUUGAUCCGUUCGCCUAUAUGUGAACAUCACAUCUUUGGUUCCUUAAAGAUAUUACAAAAACUUCUUCACAAUUUGUCAAUACAUAAAGCUAGGGUCACUUUCAUAUCUUCUGAGAUAUAUAGUAACAAAUGAUAAGUUCAAAUGGGUAUAUGUUCGAAGAUAAUUGAGAGAUCCAGCUACAACAUCAUAUAAUUUUUCUCUCAUUGUAAGCCUCUUUGCAUCUAAAAGAGGUCCUUGCAAUUUUCUUAGUUUAUCACCUUUAAUAGUAUGUGUUUUAUUAGAAGAUUAAUUUUUUCAUCGAAAACCUUUUCAACACAUUUGAAAUAUAAGACUAAGACAACCCAAAUAUGCCCCUAAGGCCUCUUCUUAUGAAUCUCUAUACGAAUUAUGUAAUUUACUUCACUUAUGUCUUUUAUAUCAAAGUUGUUUGAUAGAAAAUCUUUCAUCUUAUUUAAUAAACUAAGGUUUUAACUAGUAAGUAAAAUAUCAUCUACAUACAACACAAGUAAUAUCUAUUUAUUCUCACUUUCCUUCAAAAUAUAUGCAUUUAUUAACUAUAUUUUUCUUAAACGCAAAGGACAUGAUAACUUCAUUAAAUUUGAAGUCCCGUUACCUAAAAGCUUGCUUGAGUUUGUAGAUAAAUUUAUUUAACUUGAAAAAUCAUAUAUUUGAUGUAACCCUAAGUCAUUAUUAGAAUCAUCAUUCAAUUUUAAUAAUUUAUAAAACUAGAUUCACCAAAAAUAAUAUUAAAUGAAUAUAGUGGUGAGUUAGGUCGUCUCCUCAAGAAAAGCUUUUAGAAAUCUUCUUAUUCUCUUAUUAAUGCAUUAUGAAUUUGAUAUUUAAUGUAAUGCAAGAAAUAAAAUGGUAAAUAAAUGUAAUGUGAAUCUAAAAUUCUAAUAAAAUGAAAUAUACUUUAGAAUGAUGAAAAUAGAAAAUAAAUAAGUAAAAAAAAAUUAAAACUAAGAAAAUAAAUUUAUUUCACAGAUCAAACAAGAAAAUAAUGAAAAAUUUAUUAAAAAUCAAACUUAUAACCCUUAGAAUGCAUGGCUUGAUGUCGACCUCUAGAUAACACUUCUCAAUCUUGCAUCCAAUUCAACAAAAUGGAUUUAAGGUGAAAAGGCUAGAGGAGAACAAUCAAAAAUCAACAAAGCAUAUCUUGGAACUCUAUUUUCGCAUAAAAAAAAGAACAAUUAUUUUCUCUCAAAAACAACUCAAGAACAACUCCAAAAAAAGGAUCCCUUUCUCUCUUCUCUUCCUCCUUUUGUUCCCCAGAUCUACAAAUUGCAUUUUUCGUUUUAACUUCCUAUUUUCUGCCAUAUUUUUUCAAUUUUUCUCCGAUUUUUCUAACAUUUUUCUCUUUUCUCACAUGGCAAUAACUGAUAUUGUCUAUUUUACCAGAUUAUAACCAAUAUUUACAAAGAUACCAUUAUGCCGCACAAGAGAAUAAUCGAUAUUGUCUAUUUUACUAGACAAUAAUCGAUAUUUGUCAACAUGUCUUCCACCACGUGGCUCGAUGAAGAUCAUUGGAUUCUCACACCGUUAUUUUACUUUGAAAGGGGAUGACGUGGCUUCUCAAUCACCGUUAGAUCUAUUUGAGCUCUCACUACUUUUUUGCGUGCUUUAUCGGGAUUCAUGUGGGCACCUGACCACGUGCUAAUGGAUAGAGAUGUGGUCGCUUCUGGUGUGUCAGAUCUAAUGGCGGAUGUCAUUAGAUUUGGCACUACUUUUCGUGCGAUGGUGGGUGGUGAUGUGGCAGCUUUAGGAUCAUCAGAUCUUUGCCGCAGCUGCUGCUCUGCCGUUAGAUCUGAAAACGGUAAGAAGAGACAUUUAGUCCCAUAUCGGAAGUAUAAAAAAUAUAGAGUUCUAUAUAUUUAUCAAUGUCCCCCAUUAAAAACAUACACCUCCUAAAAGGAUGACCGGACUUGACUACCAGCUCCCAAGGAUGAUCAAGAUUGAGACUCGGCUCCCAGUAGGCCUUGGAGGUGAUCUAUUCGGCCCAAACCCAUGAUUCAGAUUCGUGACCCGAUUUACACGGGUCGCGAGGUGGUGUGCCCCUUGGGCCCGCUCCUAGACGUAGUGUGGCCUCUAGCCUACGUCGGGCCCAUUAGGUAGUGUGCCUCUGGUCCGCUAACGGUGCGUCCAUUUUAUCUUUUCAUAUCUUCAAUUGAUAUUUAUUUUAAUGCCUAAAAAUUCAGAAAAAUUGCAGAAAAUGUAUUUUAGUUAAUCAUAAAAAAUUAGCACAACAGAAUUUCAUUUAAAAUAAACUAAAUGAAAAUUAAGCUUCAACACAUGAAAUAAAUUUUCAUCAAUUUUCUUUUCAUUCAUAAAAUAUCAAUUUAAAUCAAGAUUUAAGGAGGUUUAUCAAAAUGAAAAGUAAAAUAAUUCUCAAAUAUACAUUAUUCUCUCUGAUUUAGUAACACAUUAAUAUGCAAUUUUCACAAGUUAUCAAUAUUCUUUACCUUUAAUGUUAAAUCCUUGAGCUUGUUGUAUGUACAUUUCUUUUUUAAUUCGCCAUUUAAGAAAUUUUUUUUACAUCUAUUUAAUGUAGCUCUAAAUUAAAAUGAACUAUUAAGACCAUGACUAAUCUUAAUGAAUUUUUAGAGUAAAUUAGAGCAUAAGUUUCAUAAUAGUUAAUGCAUUCUUUUUAUGUAAAAUUCUUUGUUAUAAGUUUGGCUUUAUAUUGUUCAAUGAUGCCAUCGGGAUUUAAUUUGGUCUUAUAGACCUUUUUACAACAAAUAAACUUCUUUCUCAAAGGUAAGUCCACGAUGUACCAUACUUGAUUGCAAUCUAUGGGUACAAGCUCAUAUUUCAUAGCUUGUAACUAGUGAUUAUAGUUCACACAAUUUAUAACCUGUGAAAAUGUAACGGGAUCAUGUACCCAUUGACCCAUUUCUUCACCUAAGAGAUAUAUCACAUUGUUAGAUGAAAUAAUUGAUUUUCUUUGCCUCUUGAUCAUUUUAAAUCUUGAAUAGAUGGGUCUAUAGUAAGCUCAAAUGAUCGUUCAUGUGGUUAUUCUUGAUUAGGUAUAUUUGUCUCUUCAUUGUUGUCCAAAAUUGAAACAACUUAGGGUAAAUAAACCUUAGUCUCCAAAAUAUGAUAAAUAUUAUUGCAUUGACUAGAAAUCUAUUGAGGUACAAUAACAUCUUCUACGACUUCUUAAGAAUAAAAUCCAUAAAGAUACUUUCACUAACAUAAACAUCUUCUAAAAAGAUAACUCUAUCAGUUUUAACAACUCUUGUGGUAUUUGUACGAUAAUAAAAUCUAUAUUGUCUCGAUCUCUCUAGAUAGUCAAUGAAGUAGUCACUAAUUAUCCUUGAAUCUAGAGAUUUCUCAUGUGGAUUGUAAAGUUUAGCUUCAAUUAGAUAAUCUCAUAUGUGCAUAUAACAUAAAGAGAGUUUUCUAUUAGUCCAUAACUCGUAAAGAGUUUUCUGUGUGGACUUUGUUAGAACCCUAUUUAGAAUAUAUAAAUUUAUCUUUCAAACUUCACUCCACAUUGAGAUUAGCAGAGUUAAAUAACUCAUCAUAGCUUUGAUUAUUUCUUUAAGAAUUAUAUUUCAUCUUUCUGCAACCCUAUUUAUGUUAAGUUUUCCUAGUAUUAUGUAUAAAGACAUUAUACCAUGCUCCCUAAGAAACAAUAUAAAUGGUCAUAUCAUUUGUCCUUUGUUGGUGUGUUUGUUAUAGUAUUUGCCAAAUGUAUUUGAUUUGACUAUCUUGAUAAGUUUUCCUAAUUGUUUCUCUACUUUUUUCUUAAAAUCUUUGAACAUGUCAAAGACUUUAAAUUUAUCAUGAUGAGGUAAAGAUAUAUAAACCUUGAGUAGUCAUCGAUAAAGGUUAAGAAAUAUUAUUGGCCUAUAAAAUAUAGACAAUAGAGUCCACAUACAUCUGUAUGAAUCAAAUCUAAUGUUUCUUUACAUUUAUGAUAUUUUUCCUAAAUGUGUUGGUUGUUUUUGUCUUGAUACAAUCAACAUAGGUAUCGAGAUCUGUGAAAUCUAACUAUCACAAAAAACAUUCUUUCACUAAUAUGUCCACCCUCUUUUGGGACAUGUUCCAAUUUUCUAUGCCACAAAAUUAUAGAGUUAUCAUUAGCUCUAUUCAUUUUAUUAGAGCAAACUAAAAAAAUAUUUUCAGAAAUAUUAAGAUUAAAUAAUCUAUCAAUUACAUCAGUCCUAAUAGGAAUAUUUCAUUUAGUUAAAGACAUGACUAAUGCAUCCAAACUUACAUGAUAAUUGUCUUUAACUAAUUUGAUAACAAAUAUCAAAUUUUGUUGAAAUAAUGAAAUAUAAAAAUAAUUUUUCAAAAGUAAAGUUUAUCAAGACUCCAAGGUGAUUCUAUAAUCAUCCACUUACUUUACGUGUGAGCACAUUCGAUUUCUCGAGACGACAUAUAGUUUACACUCAGUUGGAGGCCACAUUAUUAGAAACCCCUACAAUGUGGUUGAAAUUUGCACAAUUACACUUGAGUCAAUCUACCAACUCAAAUUAGAAACAUAAGUUAGAUUUGAUUCAUAACUUGUGACAUAAAUCUCAUUACCUAAAUUCUACUUAAUUAAACAUUUCUUGUGCUUUAGGUAUUCUUUUUUCAAAUGACCAUAUUUUCUUACAAAAGAAAUACUUAACUCUAAAGAUAGAGCUUUUAGCUAGACCUAAUUCGUGCUUCUUAGUUGAAGAUUUCUUGAUCAUCUUGCCCUUUAAUACAUGCUUCCUUGAUCUAUGAGUUACCAUAUUCAUGGUGUUCAUAUUGUCCAAUUGAUUAGCAACUUACCUUUCUUCUUUUUGAACACACUUGGUCAUGAGAUCAUUCAUUGACCAUUCAUCCUUAUGUGCAUUGUAAGAAACUUUAAAAAGGUCAUAUUCAACUAGUAGUGUCUGUAAGAUGUAAUAAACUAAAAAGGUCUUAUGAAUAGUAAUCUUCAGAUCAUUCAAUUUUGAUACAAUGUCACACAUGCUUAAGAUAUACUCUCAUAUAUUUCUUUUGUUUGUAUAAUGCAUGAAAGUAAACUUCUAAAUCAAGACACUUACUUUGACUUUGUCACACCUAAUAAAUUAUUGUUCAAUCAUUUUCAUGUAAAUGGUUGCUAGAGUGUUAGAAGUCACAUGAUCUCUGAUAUCUCUAGGCAUACGUUGUGACAUGAAUGAUUAGGACAAUCUAUUAGAUCUCUCUCAUUUCUUAUGAAAAGUCUUUGCAUUCACAUUACUUUCAACCAGAAGUGUUGUAAGAGUAGGCAUUCGAAAGUGAAAGAUCUAGAGGCUAGACAAAAUACCAAGAGGGGGGGUGAAUUGAUAUUUUAGAAAUCUCAGAUUUUCUUUCCAUAUGCUAAAUGUGUCAACACACGUGUUAACACAGCUCUGUGUGAUUAUAUACAGAAAGAAUUACUUUCUCUCUCUUCCAACAGGAUCUCACUAUGAAGCAAGAGCUUUUUAUACUAAUUCGCCCCUCACCUAGCUACUUCUAGUCCCAGAAGAUUCUUCUUACUAGUAUUCUACUAUUUUUCUUGAAAAUACACAUUGAUUUUAACGGGAUUAGUUGUUUAAUACCUCAAAAGUUUAACCUCCACAAAAAUUCAGCCCCUUCCAGGCCAAAUAGGACUUAGAGCACCUCUUGCCUUUGCCCAAACUCACUCUUCACUCACCACCUAGAUACCUUAAGGCUUGAUGAAGAGCUUCCUCGAAAGAUUCAAGCUUUAUCUUGAUCAUCAAUCAUUGAUGAAAAAAGAUGAUGUAGUCUGCUCGUAGUUGAUACUCGGUGGUGAUGAAUCUUGAUCGUGAGAGAGAUAGCUCGUUGUAGAUCAAAGUAGAAUAGUUGUUUUUGAUCUCCCUUGCUUUCUUUACUUGUAAGGCAUCGUCUUCUAACAAAUUUCUACAUUUUGCUCGAGAGACAAAUUCGAAAAGUUAAUUCAAACAUUUACUAUUUUCCAGAAUGCGUGGCAAUGACCUCUGACUAUUACGAAUUCAAUAUCUUUCUAUUCUCUGAUCCAUUCGAUUUGAAAUUUGAACUGAAGAUUCUUCUCUCAUAGAUGUUUUUUGUUGACUUCAUCUUUAGAUUCGAACAUUAAGAUAAUCGUUUUCUCUACGUAAGUAGUUGAUGUGUCAACAUUUAGAUUUCUAGUUUGAGACUCACAAGAGCUCAUUUGAUAUUUUGAACCUUUUUGUUUUUCUUUUAAGAAUGCACAUGAUUAAUAAAUAAUAGCUGCACUUAAAUGAUUAAAUAAAUAUAACUAUAUGAAUUAAAAACAUAACCAUUAUUUAUCUAUUAAAUAUUUGUUUUUCAACAAAUAUUUAUCUAUGUGACACUUCACCUCUUCAUCAUUUCACUUAAUCUCAAGGUUAGUCAUAAAGUCAUAAGAUGAAUAAUAUCAACCAUGAAUUAUAUAUUUUCUCAUAUAUUUUGUAAUAUCGAAAUCUAUGCCCAAGGGCAUCAACAAAAAGUAUAGUUCUAAAUCCGUUAGGCCCAAUGAAAAAAGUAAAGCUUCUUCUAUUGUAAAAAGUUUGUGUCAUUCAAUAUUGUUACCUUAACCCCUCUAUGUGAUGCAAAUAAACAACUCACAUGAAAUAACCUUUAUAUUUAAUAAUCGUACCAUUAUAACUCUACAUAAGCAGAUGAAAUAAUAUACUAUUAGUUAAAUGAACAUGAAACUAAUUACACAUACAUUAAAGUCUAUGAAGUAUAGUAUUGUUGGGUACUUAAAUUUUCUAUAUUUAAUAUGUAAAUAUAAUCAUUUCACCCAUUUAGAUAUAAGCAUAACAAUCCCACAUUGUUGAGUAAUGUUAAUUUCAUUUAUUUAAAUGUAGGUUGAAUCCCAUUUGGGUUAGAUUUAAAAUCUACUUGAUAUAAUUAAUGCAAAUAAUUGUUCUUAAUUGGUGUCACAUUGGUGAAGAGCCCAAGUUCUCCAAGUUAAAUGAAUAAGUACAUGGCAUUCAAUAUAUUUUUAUAAUUGGAUUGAACAAAUUAAUCUUCUACCUUGAUAGUCCAAUGUAUAUUGUAUGCCAUUCAUCUAAUUAUUAUCUACAAUUUAAAACUACAAAUAGCAUGGAUAUAGUUAAUAAAUUAGAACACUGAAAUAACAAUACAAUAAUAAUGAACACAAAAUAAUAAAUAAAACACAUGUUGUUAAGGUUGAUAAGUGACAACUACAAUACUCAAAACUCACCAGAGACCUCUGCUAGGGUACUCCCUAGGUUGACUAUGUAACCCAACUAUAUUGUAUUGUAGUGUUCCACCUCACCACAAUCGCAGGGGAGGGGGAUGUAUAGCCACUACCCCACAAUGAUCAAGGAGGCAUUCAUUGUGCUAUUCAUAGAGGCGAUCUGCAGCUAGGUCACUAAAUUGCCGAAGAUCUCUUGAGCAAUUGCAUGGAUGGAGUCACCGUUCUUCACAGCAUAGUCCAACUACCUGUCUGAGAUGCUAGUCCCAUUACAAUAGGCACAUGUGAAGGGGAUCUAGAGGGUGGUGUUGGGGGGGACCUUAGCUGUGGUCUAGAUGGUUUCGUCAAGGUUGUUGGCUCCAUAAAGAUCAUAGAUUAAACACACCUUGAAGAGGCCUCUAAUGGCCUUGUAGGUGGUCUCCCUUGGGGAUACGUACCUAGCCAAGGACAUGGAGGUGUACCAUAAUUUAGGAGGUCGUGCAGCACAAGUAGAGAUAAGGAGGAAGUGGGAGAACAAUGAGGGGGGAAGAACCACUAGGCCAUUGGAGUAUAUCAUCCUUGUCUUCAUUGCAUUUGUCACUUGUUCUUGUCAAAGUACUAGUUUCUCUUGUUAACCUUUUAUGUUUGUCUCCAAGAUGUUAGAAGCUUUGAAGAAGCAAUCGAGAUUCACAAGAGGACGUCACCACCCCUCUUUGUCUCUUGGUAUAUAUUUAUAUAUAUAUGUCUUUUAGUACUCGCAUGAUUCUCACACUCCUCUCUCUCUCUCUCUCUCUCUCUCACUCUCACUCACUCACUCUUAAGAUACACGCAUAUGAGUUGGUUUAUGUGAUUUGUUGAUAAGAUGAAGAGAGGUAAAGGAGAAGCUAUUUAGUACCCAUUAUCGGAUGUCAUGUGAGAAGAGAAUUUGGUCACCAGUUGGUCUAUCAUCCAAGGAACAUCAUCCACGGCAGUUGACAAAUCAAAACAUUUACAAAGGUGAUUGUGGAAUGCUGGUCAAUGCCACUACUAUAAAUAAAGAUUCUUCUAUCGCAAGUUAAUCGUUGAUGUGUCUAUCAUUGGUCAAAAUUCUAUGAACAUACUUGAGCCUCAGCAUGAUUCAUCCAACCUCUCUCUCUCUCUCCCCUUUCUUUGAUCUAUAUGCAUGUGUGGAUAUUCCAUAAUGAACCAUGUAGGCAUCUGCCUCUCCCUUUCUAUCGAUAUACUUCCAUCCCCUCCUACCUACGGAGCAAACGAGAAGCAAGUUGUCUACUACUUAGGGGGUGCAUCGAGGACUUGGCCCGUGAGCAGAUUCUUGGGGUUGGAUAUGUUGUUGGGGUUGAUAAGUGUGCUUGUGAUGCCUAGAACUCUCUAGAGACCUCUGCCAGGGUACUCGCCUACUUCACUAUGUGAGCCAAGUGCACUUGAUUGCUGUUGAAGGGGAGGGGGAUAAAAAGCUUCCACCCCUUGUUGAUUAGAGAGGCAUUUACUAUGCGGUUUGUGGUGAUGAUCUACUGAUAGGUCACCAACCUGUCAAAGAUCUCCUAGGUGAUCACCUCGAGGGAGUCAUCAUUCUUCACAUCCACAACUAGUUGCUAGUCAGAUACACUAGCCACUUUACUAUAUGUGCAAGUGGAGGAUCAGAUUGUGAUAUUAGCGGGGACCUUGGUUGAUGCGGAGCGGAUGUGAAAAGGAUUAAAUAGUUUAAGAAAACCACUUGGUGUAGGAUGCUCAAAGAUUUUAUAAAUUAGAAAAUAUUUAAUACCACAAUUUAAUAAUCAACUAAUUAUGUAAAAAAUGGCUAUCCUAUGAUCUCUUAGGUGACUAUAGCAAGAAAGUAUAUUAAAUGAACAAAUGAAAUAGAGAAAUAGGAAGAUAUACUUGAACCUUGAAAAUAAGAUUUGACCUGACUGAUAUGUUUGACCUUUGACUAUUGACCAUUCACUUGUCCUAGUUGACUGUUGACUAUCAAUGACUAAGUCGUCAACUACAGCAGCUUGCAGCUAAGGGGUGGACGUGACUUGGCUUAGGUGGCUGGAUGGUUCUUGCCAAAUGGUUUGGAUUGCAGCUGGCUAAAAGGGAUAAGUGUUGGUGGGCUGGUGGAAGUGGGCCAGAUGACGUUAGGCCCACAAUUGGGGAUUAAACCCUAGCCAUAGAAGGGGAUGGUAUUCAACAACAGAGAGAGGGGAGGAGGGUGGAGGUAGUGCUGAUGGGAGGUGAGGGUGAAGGUCGGUGGCUAGGUGGUGGCGAGGUGGUGGUUGGCAGUGGCGUCGGCAAUAUGACAAGGUUGGCAUUGGUGGAAAAUGAAGGGGGGAUGGUGGCAAAUAGGUAGUAGCUGCUAGAGGGGAAUGUCGACAGUGGAGAGGGCAAUGGAUAGGCAGCAGCAGUUGAAGGGAGGGUGAUGACAGCUGUGACAGCAAGUGAUGGCAGUGCAAGUGGUGGUGGCUGAUGGUGAUAGUAGAAAGGAAAGGGAUGGGAAAGUGAUGGGAAUUGAAGUGAACCGGCAUCUCCUUAUUUGCUACACAUUGGCCCAAGCCCAUUAAGGAGUAACCGUCUUCCAUGAAACUUUUUUCUUUUCUAUUCUCUUGGAGGUUAUAAAUAACCUCGUGAUAACCUAAAGAAUAUACAGAGAAUAUAAGAAUAAAAUAUUGAGGGUUAUCUCUUAUCACUCUGCAAAGAGAGGCCGUGAGGGUCAUCACUCCGUAAGGAGAGGUCGUGAGGGUCAAAUCACUCUGCAAGGAGAGGCCAUGAGGGUCAACUAUCCAUCACCACCAACACCAACUAUUGCCACCACCGCUUACAUUCACUACUAGUCCGCAACCAUCUGCCACCAGUUUCCACUAACAUUUGUCGUCUGUCAUUGAUGUCCACCGUUAUCUAUUGUUGUUGCCUGCCGCCAUCCAUCCUUGUCAUCUGCCACUGCCAUUGUCGCCAUCUCCACCUUCCAUCCUUCCUCAUCCAUCAUACUCCACCAUCACCAUUUUCUGCCACUGCCUCCACCAUUGUCCCAACCUUUGCCCUGUCCAUUGCUGCCACUGCCUCGGCUCCCUCUACUUGCACAUUCCGUUCGUGCCUCCCCUCAUUUGUUUGCCCAACAUUUAGGGUACAAAAAAGCCCUAAAUUGUGUUAUUCAAGACUACUGGACUAGACCAGUCCACUUCAAUCCAACCCAGCCACUCAACACCUUCCCCCCACUGGAACUAGUUUGCAUAAGUCAAUGGUCAACACAAGUAAAUAGUCAACAAAAUGGUCAACAGUCAACAAGUGGGGUCCAGCUUCAACUGGCACCCCUCUUCUAGUCAAUCACCUAACUUGGUGACAAGGUUAUCUCUAAACCUUUUAUUUCCAUUAAUAGAAUAUCUUGUUCACUUAGUAUUUUGUCGUACAAAAUUGUUGUGUGAACCAUAGAUAGAUUUAUUCAUUUUGUGAUUGGUGGUUAGUGAGGAGUGAUAACUUACUUGAUUUGUAGCUAAUCAAUUUAUUGACUAUGGAGCACCCUAAUCAUUCAUGAUUUCUUAAUCGUGAUGAUCCAGUUGAUUUCAAUCUUGGGGGAUUUCACUUGAUCUUACCCCAGUGAACCUUCUUUAGUUUGUAGAUCUUUAGUAGAGUCAAGUCUAUGUCUUGUCUAGGGUAAUAUAGUCUUUUCAUCAUCACAUCUUGCAUAAGGAAGAGUGCUCUAGACAAGGAGUAGCGGGGUCCUCCAAUCAACCCAAGCCAGGGGAAUGGGAUCUUGCAAGCAAGUAAGGUAAGGAACUAAUCCUUAAAACCUUAUUUAUCAUCCUCCCCAAAUCAAAGGUCUGAAGGCUGAUUUUUAAGUCUCUCUUUAAUGAGACAACAAAAUCUUAGGCUUGAUUAACUUAGUAAUAAGUGAAUCCUUCCGUUUCAGGACGUUUGUUGUGGUGCCAAGGACAACAAGUCACUAAAUCAUGGGUGCAAUCAUCACCUUCGUUGAUCCUUCCUUCGUUUAGAGCGGCUUCAAAAUCAUUGUUCAAGGGAUGGUUGGGGUGUGAGGCAUUGUUGGUUGAGGUUGGGGUGGUUUUGUUGAGGCCAUUAGCUCCAUAGAGAUCGUAGAUGGAACCUACCUCAAAGAGGCCCUUGAUGGCCUCAUUGGUCCUCUCCCUUGGGGGGAAAGUAAUCGGCCAAGGCCUGGUACUUGAAGUUGGAAGAGCACCGGAAUUUGGGAGGGGGUUGAGCGACGUGGGUAGAGACGAGGAGGAAGAAGAGCAGUGUGAGUGGAGGAAACAUCAGGCCAGCAGACCAUAUCAUCCUUGUCCUCACUGUCUUCUCGUUUCCUUCUGGAACUACUAGUUGCUCAUGUUAUCAUUUUAUGCUCGUCUCUAGGAUGCCGGAAGCGUGGAAGAAGAGACCAACAUUAACCAUCCACCUGCGUUGGUCAAUCCCAUCUCUCUUCUCAUCUCUUCCAUUAUCUUUCCACUUUUCGUGUCAAUCCUGUUUAGAUAGAUAGAUAGAUAGAUGUAUAAAUAUAGAUAGAUAGAUACAUGGAUAGAUAGAUAUAUACAUAUAUAUAUAUAUAUAUAUAUAUAUAUAUAUAUAGAGAGAGAGAGAGAGAGAGAGAGAGGAGGAUGAAUCAGUUUGAGGAAGCUUUUUACCUUUGUUCCAUAAAAUAAGGAAAGGCCUAACUGGUUCUGACCAGACAAAAACAACAGAUCGCUGUCUUGGUCUCCUGAGACUUACAGAGAACGCCACACCACAAAACGCAGCAGGCAUAGAGGGAGGAGCUCGACGUUUGGGUAGAAGAUUUGGUGCCAAGUGACGGCUAGAACAACGGUGGUGCCACCGGGAAUUGUGAUUACACGUCAAACGACCAGAUUUGACUUCACUAAGCCCAUCCAGUGAGGUUAAAAUAGCUUAACCUACAGCGCCCGUUGAAGGUACCAGCUUUCAAUGAGGCCCAAAUUCUGCUCACCGUUGGUUUUACAAGUCUCUACGUAAUUAAUCAGUUGAAGAAACUUACUACAUUGCUGCCAAUAUGUGGAUAGAAAUAGAAUAUACUCGAGAUUCAUCGAGCAAUGGGUGAGCCCUAGUGAGACGGCGAAACCCAUCAACGAGUUGAGCAUGGUAGUUGGCACCUGUUGCAGAUGAGGAAGGGGCAUGCCCCGACAUGUCCUCUCACCCAUAACUGAAGAGCAGAGGGGCCAACUGGAAAAAGACGCCAUGACCUAAUUGUGCUCUCCCACUCCAUGCAUAGAAUCAUCUCUCUCCCUCUCUUUCUAUUUCAUCAAAUUACACAAGAAAGCAACAAACAAAGAAGAAUUAAGACUGAAAGAAGUAAAUCAAAGUUUGAACAAUUGAAAAAAUUGUGGUUCAAACAAUAGUGCUUACUUCCAUCAGAGAGAGAAAGAGAGAACGCAAUGAAGAAAACCGUGGAAGGGUUAUAUUUCUAGUUUACAUGUUAACCCCUUUCAGCUCAUAUGAGAUUACAAUUAUGCGCCCCUUAACACAACAUAAAGAGAGGGAGCUGGUCCCCAUCUCUCGUUUCACACGCCUUUCACCCCUCAGGGCCACUACUUCAACUAUCCUUGUCACUUUCAAGGUCUCUUAGUUAUGGUCCACCUUGAAUUCUUCUGAGAGGGUAGGUGCUUCUCCUUUAUAACAUAUUGAGAGUUGGAUCAAGUCAUGUAACCGGAUUGGUUUAUGUGUCCACAAUAUUUUCUGAAGUGUGAUUUUUCUGUCAAAGAAUAUCACACGUAGUUAUUAAAUUUCUGAUUUUUAGAAAUUUUAUGUCGACCUGUUUACUCUUCAUAUGAUACACUUGAUUCUUUGCCAAAAAACUGACACUCUGACUGUCGCAGUGUAAUGGAACUCCAUCUUGAUCAAUCCCGAGUUUUUUGAUAAAUUAUUUGAUCCAUAAGAAUUCCUUUGGAACUUAGAAUUGUCAUGUAUUCUGACUACAUGGUAGAAAGCCAAGGAAGUCCAUCCAGAAACGUGAUGAUCCAUCCGUUAUGCUGUCAGAUUAAGUGAUUUUGUUCUGCCUGUAACUUAAAUAUAGUGCGCAAGGUUUCGUAGAAACCAUCUCUUUUCGUUGAAUGGGUUAAAAUUAAUUAAUGGCCGCUUGAUUUUGAGUGAACUAGGUAAAUCUCUUUCCGGCAAUGAAUUUAAUUCUUCGUGUUAAUUAAUAAUGGAGUCUAAAUAUGUAAAAUAACGUAAGAGAAUGUAAUUGGGUUAAUGCCAUUGGGCUGGUCUAUGCCAUUGGCUGGAGAGAUGACGAAAGGAAAUGGGGAAGCUUUACAGGAUACGUUAUCAGAUGCCAAAUGUGAGGAACAGUCUGGUCACUGGUUGGUCUGCCGUCUAAGGGACGUCAUCCACGGUCGUUGACCAAUCCUGACGUUCACAAAAGUCGACUAUGGAAUGUUGGUCGGCGCCACUAUUAAACAUAAAGACGGUUUUUCCGACAGGUUGAUCGUUUGCGUGAGUAUCAGCCGCCAGAACGGCCCACAUCCUUGACAACGCAAGGUGUUAGUGUCAGUCCUUGAAAAUUCCAUGAACAUUCUUGAGCCCUGACGUGAUUCAUCCCUGUGUGUGUGUCUCUCUCUCUCCCUCUACCCCCGCCUAAUCUCUCAUGGGGAUAUUAAAUAAGUAUUCCAGAUAUAUUCGUCUGUCACUUUCAAUCGAUCUAUUUCCAUCCCCUCCUACGGUCCAAUGAAACCUCUCGACACUAGGAUGAUCCCCACCCCUAGAAGGUUUUCGUCCCUCUAAAACACACUCUCACUCCUGUUAGGAAGAUGAGCAUCUCGCUCAUUUCACAACAUAAAAAGGUAGAAUGACAAGAUAUAAAGACAUCAAAUGAAAGGAAACAUGCUAGAUUUAUGUGGUUUGGAAAUCUUCCUAUGUCUACAGACCAACAAGCCCUUGUUUUUUCUUGGAGAGAAAAUUAUCUCAUUGGUUCCAACUAAAUUGGAAAAUAUGUGACAUGAUUGGCUGUUGAUGAGUUGCUUGACAAAUCCUGCAAAAGGUACAAUUUAGUUGACAUGUGGGUAGACCCAGCAUGAGAUUUAGUUACACUGGUGUAAUACUGUCAAUUUAACUUGCUUUUGACAACGUCUAAAGAUGUGUUAGUAAAAAAAAAAUUGACAUAUAACAGAUAUUGUAAUGUGUCGAAGUCCUUGUAAGAGGUCUUAUCCCACGUGUUAAGUUUCUACUAUAUAAUUUAUUUUUCUUUCUAUUUAUAUUUUAUUUGAUUUGACUAUGUAGACGCUCUUUUUCCUUCCAUAUUAACAUGGGUCGAGACACAUUUUUUUACUGAGUCCUCACGCGUCUAGGUCAACCUACUUCCUCCCUCCUUGGAUUUGACUUCAAAACAAUGUAUCUUGUUCUAGUUUGAUAUAGUUUAAUGAGUGCAGAAUUUUUUUCAACUGUUUUCUUCAUAUGAGACUUGAAAAUUAUAUUCAUAUUGUUAGGAGACGAGUGUGCUCCUGUAUCAUAAAUGGAAAGAUAAAUUGGAGAUAGCAGAUGUAAAGUGAAAGACACAUCAGAUUUACGUGGAGGGAAAACCAUCAGUAAAGAAUCCUGCAUCUACAGUUGCAUUAACACUUACUCUUCAUUAUUGGAGAAAAAAUCAUCUCCCAUUACAAGUGGUGGCAAACACACACCCACCCCCACCUAGCAUCACGAGAUAGGCUAACCCCAUUAGGGAUGGACUAUAGUUAUGCUACUACGUUUAUAUCAACGGACGUCCCCACGAAGAAGUCGCUGCAACCUAAACCGCACUGCCAACUCAAUGCGGAGUUCGACCAACGUAUCCAUCGCACAAAUAGCCUUGAUCAUUCUCCACAUACUUCCAACAACCCCUUAUGUAUACAAAAAUAUGCACAGUUUUUCUAAAAAUUAACACAUCAUAACUUGAAAGUAGUUGUAAAAUACCCUGCGAGCUCCCCUUCUCGACCAUGUAUGCCAAGCAGGUUGCAUAGCCAUGCACCUCAUCGCUGCUGCAGAGAAGGGGUGGUUCCCUAGCUAGAUCAGGGAUGAAGCUCUCUACGCCAUUGGGGGCAGUAAUACGGUCUCAAGUCACCAAUCAGCUGAACAUUCCCACUGGCGAUGGAUGCAGCAGCCACACAGAGUAGAGGAUCAUGAAGACAGCUGCAACAAUCUCUGGCUCCUCAUCUCCCAAUGGCGCUCUGUUGGUAGUUCUCCAGAGUUUUCAGUCGGACGACGACCCACGAAGAGGCCCAAAUUCUGCCCACCGUUGGUUUUACAAGCCUUCUUGUAAUUAAUCAGUUGAAGAAACUUUCCACAUGGCUGCCAAAAUGUGGAUAGAAAUAGAAUAUACUCGAGAUUUACCGAGCAAUGGGUGAACUCUAGUGAGACGACUAAACCCCUCAACGAGGUGAGCAUGGUAGUCGGCACCUAUUGCAAGUGGAGAAGGGCAGGCCCAGACACGUCCUCUCACCCUACAACUGGAGAGCGGAGGGGCCGACUUGAAAAAGACGACAUGACCUAAUUGUGCUCUCUCAUCCCCUUUAUAGAAUCAUCUCCCUCACCCUCUUUCUGUCGCGUCGAAUCACACAAGGAAGCAAAAAUUAUAUAAGAAUUAAGACCGAAAGAAGGAAAUCAAAGUUUGAACUCACCGAAAAAAUUGUGGUUCAGACAAUAGCGCCUGCUUCUGCGAGAGAGAGAGAGAGUAAUGAAUACAAUCAUGGAAGGGUUUCAUUUCUAGUUCAUAUUUAUAUCCCCUUUCAGUUCGUGUGAGAUUACAAAUAUGCCCCCCUUAAAAUAACAUAAAGAGAGAGCUGUCCCCAUGUCUCAUUUCACGACCCUUUCACCCCUCAGAGCCGAUACUUCAAAUAUCCUCCUCACUAUGAAGGUCUCUCAGAUAUGCUCACCUUGAACUUCUUCUGAGAGGCUAGGUGAUUCUCCUUUUUUGCAUGAUGAGAGUUGGAUCAAGUCAUGUAACCGGGUUGGUUUGGAUAUCUACAAUAUUUUCUAAAUUGUGACUUUUCUGUGAAAGAAUAUCAGCUGUAGGUACCAGCUAUCUGAUUUUUAGAAAUUUUAUGUCGACCUGUUUACUCUCCAUAUGAUACAGCUAUUCUUUGCCAAAAAUCUGACACUCUCACUCGCAGUGUAAUGGAAAUCCAUCUUAAUCAGUUCCGAGUUUUUUGACAAGUUAUUUGAUCGAUAAGACUUCCUUUGGAGCUUCAAGAAUUGUCAUGUAUUCUGACUCCAUGGUAGAAAGCCAAGCAAGUCCAUCCAGAAACAUAAUGAUCAAUCCGUUAUUCUGUCAGAUUAAGUGACUUUGUUCGGCGUGUAACUUAAAUACAGUGCGCAAGGUUUCGUAAAAACCCUCUUUUCGUUGAAUGGGUUAAAAUUAAUUAAUUGCCGCUUGAUUUUGAGUGAACUAGGUAAAUAUCUUUCCGGCAAUGAAUUUAAUUCUUCGUGUUAAUUAAUAAUGGAGUCUAAAUAUGUAAAAUAACGCAAGAGAAAGUAAUUGGGUUAAUGGCGAAUCCAUGCUGUUUUGGGAUGGGGCGUCACUUACUGUAUCCAUUGUGAUUCUGGUUGUUCCAUUGUUAUUGAUGGGUGGUGAAGAUGAAUAUCGGGCCAGAUCAGAACACAACGGUCCCAGGUCUCGCGAUAUUCCCGUCAAGCGAGCAGGAGAACGAAGCAAUAAAUCCAGACGUUAUUAUUCACAAUACCGACACGCUUCGUCAUUCCGCGGUGGCCUACUAGAAAGAGAAGGGGAGGAGAGACACACCCAAGGAGAACAGAAACAGAAGGCGAGGCCAGCGUAGAAGAAGCCCGCGCUCCACGGAUUGAGCUCCAGAGGGUACUAAUGAGAAACUUGGACCUGCAAGAAAUAGAAAGAUGGCAGGGGAGGGAUAGCAUUAGGUCAGCCCGAUGUACUUACUCAUAGAGCCAGUAUCUGCAUGAAAAAGAGAAACAAAAGGAACAGCCCAAGCGGCCAGAGCUGCGCAGCUCACCACAGUCCAUAGCGUUGCUGACCAUGGUAGUGAUGAAUAUGGAGGGGUCGUUAUAGUGGGCAUAGACGCACUUGGUGGCCCUGCAUUCCUUGCCGAAAGUUUCGGAAAACUCUACGGUUUCCUCGGGAUUGCGUUUCAGCGUGCAGAGCUCCAUUAUAUUAGAAGACCGGGAUAAGGACAUCCUGAAGAAACACGAGCGAGAUCUUAAUAUCCUACCAGUGACCAAGAGAUGAAGAUAAGGUGGAGAAGGGGAUCCAUUUUGGGGCUUCGGAGAGAGAGAGAAAGAGAGAGAGAUGGGUCCUCACUCCGUGGCAGGGCUGUUGCAAGUGCACUUGAUGCACUUGCGGACGGUCAGGGCGUAGCUGCCGUUGGGAAGAACAAGAAAAAAUUCGCGGGAAUAGGACAUUCUCUGGGGUGAGAAGCAAGCUGCCGCCGGAGUUGUAAUUGAGGACGCCGUCCAGAUGUUAGUCUGUGGGGAAAUGAAUUUUGAGAGAUAAGAAGCGAGGGAUAUGGCAAUCACCACUCAGGGGCACAUCGAGGACUUGACCGGCGAGCAGAUUCUUCGGGUCGGAUAUGUUGUUGAGGCUGAUAAGCGAUGCCUGCGACGUCCAGAACAUGCUGGAGAGAUUCGCCAGCGNNNNNNNNNNNNNNNNNNNNNNNNNNNNNNNNNNNNNNNNNNNNNNNNNNNNNNNNNNNNNNNNNNNNNNNNNNNNNNNNNNNNNNNNNNNNNNNNNNNNNNNNNNNNNNNNNNNNNNNNNNNNNNNNNNNNNNNNNNNNNNNNNNNNNNNNNNNNNNNNNNNNNNNNNNNNNNNNNNNNNNNNNNNNNNNNNNNNNNNNNNNNNNNNNNNNNNNNNNNNNNNNNNNNNNNNNNNNNNNNNNNNNNNNNNNNNNNNNNNNNNNNNNNNNNGGGGGAACGUAGCCGGCCAAGGCCUGGCACUUGGACUUGGAGCUGCAGCGGAAUUUAGGAGGGGGUUGAGCGGCGCAGGUAGAAACGAGGAGAAAGAGGAAGAGGAAGAGGAGGGGGAAUGGAAGAACGACCGGGCCAGCGUAUGGGAUCAUCUCGAGUAUCUGAUCGUCCUUUUCUUCCUGAGGUACUUCGUGCUCCUCUCACCCUUUUAUGGUCGCUUCCACGGUGUCGGAACCAUCGGAGAAGGUGCACUUGAGAAGAGGCUUUAAGCCAGCCACCAGGCCGUCUCUCUCUCUCUCUCUGUCUAUAACUUGGGUUAACGGAACAGAGCGAAAGUGGAGAAGCUUCAUGGUAUCUGCAAACGAACGUCCAAGGUGAGAGAGGAGUGUUUGGCCAACAUGCGAUCGGUUGUCCAAAGGGUGUCAUCCGGAGUAAUCGAAGAGCAAAUACGAUUACGAAGAUGGCAAGGCUGGUGGUCAACGCCAUUAAUGCCAUUUAAGAGGCCUUCAUGAGAAGUUGACCCCUUCCGCUGGAUAAGCUACUCCCUGCUCCAUAGAAGUUGCUUCUGACGGGCGGCAGCCACGGCGGAGGAAGACGGGAUGUGAAAUUGGACGAUGGGAUUGGGGCUUUUGAUGCAUACCAUAAAAAAGGAUGAACACAGAAACCGUGUUGACCCUACCGCCGAUAAAUGUCACCUAUCGGCAGAAAAUUUAACGAAUUUAGUUCAAAAUUAACCAAUAUUCAGCAGAACGCGUACUCAUCAUCAAACGUAUGUGGUCAAACUUAUCAGGAUGGGACCAGUCCAGAAUGUUCAUACGCUGGCUGCAGUUCUGCUGUGUGGAGAUAAAAUGGAGUGCAACCAUCAAAUUACGUCUAAAGCGUUCAAAAACCUAACUAAUAACUAGGUUACAUCUAGGGGAGUUGCUCACUCUGUGUAACCAUAAAUAAUUCCGUACUGAUUAAUAAGGCGCUCACUAACGUGGGAGAGUAUCAAUUGCCAAACAGCAAAUCUGGACCGUGAAUUAUGGGUAUUCGUUCACUUUCUUGAUUGCACGAUAGCGAUUGUUGAAAGCGCGCCGGUGAACAAGGCACAUUGUGGAGAAACGAAACGAAUCACGGUCGACGUUUUUGCGAUGUAUUAAUCACGCGAAGUGGCGAACCAAUACAGAAGAAGUACCAUCAGAAGACGAGCCCGGAUCCCACGAGGAGGAAGGAAGUCAAGUUGUGAUUAUUGACAACGGCGACGAGGCUUUGUCCUUGGAUGCAGCCCUACAGGACGCCGAAGAAGAGCAGAAGCUGCAGGAGAGCCCCGCACAGAAGAAACUCCCGCUUCACGGAUGGCGGUCCCGGCAAACCUGACGAAUUGUUUAUAUCUUCCCGAGGCCGAGACCGGAUGGACGAAGAAUUAGGCCACCGUGUCCAAGUAAUAGAGAAACUAAAACCACAUCCAUAGGAGGCCCGGAGCUGUGUAGCUUACCGCAUCUGCUGCGUUGUCGAAUCAUGACAUCAGUAAAGAUUUCUCGGUCGUCGUACCCGGCGUAGAGGCACUCGAUAGUCUUGCACGACGUGCCGUAAAUGGUUCCAAACUCGAGCUCACGGAAAUAGCUCUCUGAGUUGCAGCGCUGCCUGUUGCAUCCUCUACUAAGGUCGUCGACUGAAGCUGGAGAAUCCAAGCAGAUCAUCCUAAAGAAGCACAGGACAAGGACAUCCCCACGGAAUGGUCACAUGUCCGAUAUGUAAAGUAAACAUGAACAAAGGCGCCAGCGCUUGGGGCCGGGGGGUUUCGGGGCUGGAGAACAGAAAGAAAAGUUCUUACUCCGCCCCUGGCCUGUUGCAGAUGCACUUGAUACAGUUGCCGGCGGUCAAGGCGUAGCUACCGUUGGGGACAAGCAGGCCAAAGUCGCGGGAAUUGUAGCGAAUUGAGAGCGAGUAGCAAGCUGCCACCGCAGCCAUCAUCGAGGGCGCCGUCAAUAAUUUCGUCAACAGGGAAGUGAAUUUUCAGAGAGAGAAAACGAGAGAUAUGACAAUCACCGCUUAGGGGCACGUCCAGGACUUGGCCCGCGAGCAGAUUCUUGGGGUCAGAUAUGUUGUUGAGGCUAAUAAGCGACGCCUGCGACGCCCAGAACUCGCUGGAGACCCCGCCAGGGUACUCCCCUGCUUCACUACGUGGGCGAGAUGAAUCGUGUUAUAGCCAUCUUCAUCGCAGUUGCAGGGGAGAGGGAUGAACAGCCGCUGCCCCGGGUUGAUCAGGGAGACGUUCGCCAUGCCGUUCGCGGCGGCGAUCUGCUCUUGGGUCACCAACCCACCGAAGAUCUCCCGGGCGAUCGCCUGGAGGGAGUCACCAUUCUUCACAGCGUAGACCGGCCGUCUGUCUGAGACGCCGGUCCCUUUACUGCAGGUGCAGGUGAAGGGGAUCCGGACGGUUGUGUUGGCAGGGACCUUGGUGGAGGUCGGGGUGGUUUCGUUGAGGUCGUUUGCUCCAUAGAGGUCGUAGAUGGAACCCACCUCGAAGAGGCCCCUGAUGGCCUCAUAGGUGGUCUCCCUCGUGGGUACGUAGCCAGCCAAGGCCUGGCACUUGGACUUGGAGGUGCACCGGAAUUUGGGCGGCGGUUGAGCAACGCAGGGAGAGACGAGGAGGAAGACGAAGAGCAGCGGGAGUGGAAGAACCACCGGGCCAGCGGAGCGUAUCAUCCUUGUCCUCACUGCCUUGUUAUCUGGUUCUUCUGGAAGCACUAGCUGCUCAUGUUACCCCUUUAUGCUCAUCUCCAGGACGCCGGAAGCAUCGAAGAAGGUAUCCAGACUCAGGGGAGGACGCCAUAACCCCCUCUUAGUCAACACCCCCUUCUGCCUUUCUUUAUAUGUAUGUAUAUUAUAUAUCCGCCGUUAUGUACUGGCCCCGCGAAAAUUCUAGGGGACCCAUGAUUCUCGCACAUCUCUCUCUCUCAAGAUAUACGCGUAUGGGCUUGUCACCGGUUGUCUGCCGUCUACGGAACGUCAUACACUGUAGUUGACAAAUCCUGACGUUCACAAAAGCCGACUAUGAAAUAUUGAUUAGUUGCAUUAUUACUAAAGGUAAAGACGUUUUUUUUUUUUGUAAGUUGAUCAUUUACGUGAGUGUCAACUGUUGGGUUUAAUCUUGAUAUGAACAAAUUAUAUAUGAAUUGUAAAUUACGGGGCUAUCAAUUUAUUAAUCCUAUAUUAUGUUAUUCAAGUAAGUUCUAAUUUUGGAAUUAUGGCAUCAUUUGCAAAUAUGGUCAUAUAUAUAAUUAUGUGUAGAGACCAGGUCCUUUUCCAAUUUUAUUAUGGGCAAAAUUGGAAAAGGGCAUCAAGAUGGAAACUACCUCUUGUCUAUAAAUAAUGGGUCAUGGUCCUUGGGUCACACAACGCGUGAGUCACUCAUGGAGCAUCCCAUCUCUCACAAAGUACGAAGACUCGCUCAUUCCACGAUGGAUUUUGGUAUGGCCCCUUUUGUCUCAUUCAUUUAUACACUCCGUUCAUCGGUAUUAGAUCUGAGAUUUGAUAUAUCUAACAGUGAUAUCAGAGCCCUCUGGAUUGAUUUUCGAAAUGUAUUAUUUGUUUAUAUACCAUUUUCGUCCACUAUCUUGCAUCACUAUGACAUAUAUGCAUGAUUAAUGCUUCUGAUAUUUUAAUGCAUCAUCCUUGAGUUCGCGAUGAUUUAGAAAUAUCAAAAUAUUUUGGGAAUACAAAAUCAUGAACUGUCCACAGGCGACAUCUCCUUUGAACAUGAAGGAUUCUGAGGUGGUUUCCACACGCCUCUCCUGCUCUUCGUUACCUGGAGAAUAUUAUGGAGUCGUCGUAGGAAUCCAUACCUUCCCCUUCUCCUCCUUUCGUCGUCUGAUGAGUAGGUUGAGUCUGGUGGAAGAAGAGGUGCCAGACGGUGGACCACGGCAGGGGUAACCUUGCCGGAAGAGGGCGCCGGAGGACCGUGGGCCAUGGCGGCGUCCGCGCCCUCCUUCCUUCGACGAAGGAUGGCUUCCGAUCCUUCCGGAAACAGGCGGAGGGACGAGGGGCAAACGGGCGAUGGCUUUCCCGAUUUUCUCUCUGACCGUUCAAACCCUAAAGCCAUCGAAGCGGCCCAUUUUCCGCGAGUCGGUUUUGCGGGAGAAUGGCCCGCACGAUUUUCGGUCCAUGACGGGCGGAACCGACGGUCCGCAUCUCACGGGAGGGAGAGGAACCGUCCCCCGCCGGUUCGAGCGCCGACCCGUCACCCGACUGUUGAGGUGCACCGGCUCAGAGAGCGCCGAUUCGGCUUACACCGGCUCGGUGCGCACCGGGCGGAGGAACGGCGCGCGCCCACUAAGCGGCUCGGUGCACCGGCUCUGCGCGCGUGGGUUCGGCUUACACCGGUCUGGCGCGCGCCUGCGGCCGCUGGAAAGACGGCGCGUCGGCUCGGCAUAUGCCGAUUCGGUCAAUCAGCGCGUCUAUAUAUUUGGUAAUGGCAUCAUGAUGAUGACGUCGGCGCCGAUAAUUUUGGAAAAUUUAAUUGAAUUUCAUUUUAUUUCUGAAAUAUUUAGUCAAUUUAAUUUCGGAAGUUAUGCAUGUAGUUAUUUGAUGCAUCAUUGUGUUGUGAUUAUAUUAAAUAUGUCUAAAAUUGAAUAACUAUCAUGCUUCAAAUUUUGGUACAUGUCUAAUAUUUUAUAAUUAUUUAUAGAACCAACAUCUCGCCAAAGUGGGCUCUCUUGUAGAUACUGAUUUUUCUAACUUAUUAGAUGUAUAUCAUUUAUGAAGAUACUAAUUGGCCCAAAGGAAAGCUUUGUAUUUUUCACGUUGCAUACACAUGUGAUAAUAAAUAUGUGACAAUUAUAUGAUAUUUUCAUGAGAACAAUAGGUCAGUCCAAAGAAAGGCUUGUUACUUGACAAAAACUUAUUGCCAAUAUUUAUUUUUCACAACAAGAUGUCACUUGGGAUUAAUAUUACUGUCCAAAGACAAAAUAUUGAUGUUGCACUAUCUUUUAUGAUGAGAAGUAGUAUUAUUUGCAUUUUAAUUACUUAUGUGAGCUUAAUGUUGUUCUUUAUAUAGGUUUGAAUUAUGCAUUUAUUUCUACUAGUAUCAACUCAAUUCUCAUGCUUAAUGAGUCAAACUUUAAUGAGUGGAAAUAGAUCAUUUAGAUUGCUCUUGACUUGGAAAAUUUAGACAUUAUGCUAAGGGAAGAUUCACCCAUUGAUUCUAAUGAAUUGAAAGAUGUUAAGAAAUAGGAAAGAUCAAAUCGUAUCUGUUCAAUAAUCAUAAGGCAUGUGAUUUUACCAAGCUUUAGGGGCACUUGGUCUGAUGAAGACAUUACAAUUAAAGGUUUCUUUGAGAAACUUGAACUCAAGUUUGCUAAGAGUGAUAAGGUUGAAACAUAUUUGAUCUUGAUAAACUUAUUCUCAAUGAAGUAGAAGGGACAAGGAAACAUAAGCAAACACAUAGUUAAAAUGUCUCCACUUGUUACAAAAUCAAAUACAAUAAAGUUAAAACUUUAUAAUUAUUUGUUUGUGUAUUUAGUUUUACUUUCGCUUUGUGUACAAAUAGUCCUUUUUUAGUGAGUUAUAAUUGUCAAAUGGACAAAUGGUCCUUAAUUAGUUCAUCUCAUAUUUAGUACAAGAAGAAAGGUUGAAGCAAGAGAAAUAUGAAAGUGUUCAUAUAGUGUAAUCUUCUAAGGACAAAAUGAAGAAAAAGCCUAAGUGCAAAGAAGUCGUAGGUGACCCACUAUUAAAGAAAGAAAAUAAAAAAGUGGAUUACUUCUUUUCUUUCUUUAGUGGUGGGGCACAUAUAGCUUUCUUGUCUUUAGGCAUUUUCUUCAUUUUGUCUUUAGAAGGCUGCAACAUAUGAGCACUUUCAUAACUUGCUUCAACUUUCUUUUUCUUGCAUCAAAUGUGAGAUGAGCUCAUUAAUGGAUCAUUUAUUUUUUUGAUAGUAAUAAUUUACAUGAAAAUGACUAUAUUGUCUAGGAAGUAAAAGUAAAAUUAAACACACGAGUAAAUCAUCAUACAACUCUAACUUUAGUGUAUUUAAUUUUGUAACAAGUUGAGACAUUUCAAGCAUGUGCUCCCUUAUGUUUUUGUCCCUUACACUUCAUUGAGAAUAAUUUUCUCAUGGUUGAAUAUGAUUCAACCUUUUUAUUCUUGGCAAACUUAAGCUUAAGUUAAUCAAGGAAACUUUUAGUCAUAAUGUCUUCAUCAGACCAAGUGCCCCUAAAGGCUGGUGGAAUUGCAUGCUUUAUGAUCAUUAUCACAUGUGAUUCAAUUCGUUAGAAUCAAUGGGUUGAUCUUUCCUUAGUGCAAUGUCUAAAUCUUCCAUGUUGAGAGCAAUUUUAAUGCUCUAUUUUCACUCACUUGUUUUUUUUUGCAAGCGUGGUGGGCACAUGAGGAAGGAUUGCAUGAUGUAUUAUGUUUGACUUGCAAAAAAGGUAACCUUCUCACUUUGGUUUGUCCUGAAGUUAAUUUAAUUUUUUACCCUUACACACUUCUGGAUAGAUACUAGUGCAACUACUCAUAUAAUUGUAUCUAUGUAGGAUUACCUUCAUUGAUGAAAGCCAAUUGAUGUCUAUAUAGUUAAUGGCACUCAAUUUGAAGUGGAAGCAAUAUGUACAUUUUGUUUACUAUUAAACACUGCACAUAAUUUAAAUUUGAUUGAGACUUUUGUUGUAUUGUCUUUAGAUGGAACUUAAUUUAUUUUUGGGAUUAGACACAUUUGGUUAUGGAUGUCUACUUAGAAAUGAAAAUCUUAGUUUCUUCUAUGGUACAAAUAUUAUUGGUAUCAAUACUUUAUUAGUAGGUAAUAAAUUGUAUUUACAUACAAACACAAGGAGUACAAAGAAAAAAUUAACUAAAACUAAUUCUGCGAUACUAUACCAUAAGAGAUUGUCAUAUCUUGAAAAAGAGAAUUGACCACUUCAUUUCUGAUCAAAAUUGUUGACCCUCCUAAUGAUAAAGAUUUUGACACAUAUGUCAAUUGUAUUAAAGAGAAGUGAACAAACCUAAGGAUAAUACAUGCCAAUCAUGUCUCAAAUAUCUUAGAAUUGAUACAUAGAUAUUUGUGGUCUAUUUCUUACAAUUACUUAGAAUGUAUAAUAAUAUUUUGUCACAUUUAUAGAUGAUUAUUUUUAGCAUGACUAUUUGUAUUUCAUUCAUGAGUAGGUUUGAUCUUUAAAUGUGUUCAAGAAAUAUAAAUUGAAGUUGAGAAUUAAUUCAGCAAAAAUAUUAAAGUCGUCAAAUCAAAUUGUGGUAGAGAAUACUAUGGUAGAUAUGAUAGAUCAAGAGAACAAUAUCUAUGACCUUUUGCUAAAUGUUUAGAGGUGUGACAUUAUCCUGCAGUAUAUCAUGUCGAGCUCUCUUAGAACACUUGAAAAUAUGGUAUGGAGUAUGAUUUCCCAAUCUACCCUACCAUAUAAAUUUUAGGGAGAAGCAUUAAAGACUACAACCUAUUUUGUUUAAUAGAGUUCUAAAGAAAUCAACUAUUAAAACCCUAUAUGAACUUUGGGCAAACGUAAAACUUAGUUUUAAACAUUUGCACAUUUGGGGUGGUCAACUAGAAGCAAGACCUUAUAAGUCAAAUGAAAGGAAAGACUCUAAAACAAUUAGUUACUGUGUUGGGUGCUUGGAAAGGUCUAUAGUAUAUAAGUGUUAUCAUCUCGUUACUACAUUUAUUUUUGAGAUGAGAAAUCUCAUUUCUUUGAAGAUGUUGAGUUUACAAGGGGAAAUAAAGUUAGAGACAUUAUUUUUGAAGAAAAAUAUGUAAAUAUUUCUUUACUUGCUAGACAAUGACCAAAAUGAUCCCAUUUUGGAUAGCAUUGAUCAAGUAGCAACUUCAAAAUAAAAUAAUGAUCUCAUAUCUCUUUCAUUAGAAUAAAAUCAACCUCUUCAAGAAUCAAUGUUAUUGGGAAGACCCACGAGAGAUUGAAGAAGUGCAAUUUUAAAUGAUUAUGUCAUAUUUCUUCAAGAACACAAGGCUAUUAUUGAAAUGAUAAAAAAUGAUUCUAUUAAUUUUCAUCGUCAUAUAAAGUAAUAAUUUGCAUAAGUAGAUAGAUGUCAUUAUUGAAAAGAUCAAAUUCAUGAAAGACAAUGAUGUUUGAGAUCUUGUCUCAUUACUUAAAGGCUUGAAGCCCAUUAGUUGUAAAUGGAUAUUUAAAACCAAGAGUGAUUUAAAGGGUAAUGUGGGGAGAUAUAAAACUCAUCUUGUCACUAAUUGAUUUACUUAAAGAGAAGGCAUUAAUUGUACAUAAACUUUUUCUUUAGUUUCAUCAAUAGUUUAUUUUAGAAUUAUAAUGGUACUAGUAGCUCAUUUUGAUCUUGCGUCACAUUAGAUGGAUCUAAAUAUUACAUUUCUCAAUGGUGACAUUGAUGAAAUAAUCUAUAUGUUGCAACCAAAAUACUUUGUCUCUAAAUAUCUAAAGACAAUAGUUUGCAAAUUAAAGAAAUCCAUCUAUGGGCUCAAGCAAACUUCUUCUUAGUGGUAUCACAAAUUUUAUCAAAUCAUACUUUUAUUUGGUUUUGAGAUGAAUAUGGUUGAUGAAUAUGUAAAUGUUAAGCUUAGUGUAAGUAAAGGCAUCUAUGGGCUUUUAUAUGUCGAUAAAAGAUUUUAGUGAAGCCUCUUAUGUAUUAAGCAUAUAGAUACAUCGAGAUCAUCCUCAAAAUGACAUUGUAUUGUCACAAAAAGAGUUAUAUCAAGAAAGUUAUUGAAAGGUUUGGCAUACAAGAAUGUAAACCACUUCAUACCCCUAUUGUUAAAGGAGACAAAUUUGGUCUCAAUUAGUGCCUUAAAAAUGAUUUUGAAGUAAAAGAGAUGCAGAUUUCUUAUGCGUCAAUCGUAGUAAAUCUUAUGUAUGCUCAAGUAUGUACGCAUUUAGGUAUUCCAAUCAUAGUUGUAAUAUUGAGAAGAUAAGUAAUCUAGGUGUAGAUCAUUAGAAAGUAGUCAAAAGAGUAAUGAGAUAUUUGUAGAAACUAAAGAAUUAUAUGUUCACAUACAAAAAUUAGAUCAAUUAGAGAUCAUUGGGUAUUUUGAUUCUAAUUUUGCUAGAUGCAUAAAUAGUAGAAGAUCCAUUAUAUGCUAUAUAUAUUUGUUGGUUGGAGGAGCUAUAUUAUGAAAGAGUGUUAAGCAAACACACAUAACUUCUUCCACUAUGGCAAUGGAAAUAAUAGCAUGUUAUGAGGCAUUCAAUCAUGCAAUCUGGAUAAAGAAUUUUUUCACAUGAUUACAAAUUUUAGAUGGAAUUUAAAAGACCACUAUAGUUGUACUAUGACAAUAAGUCAACCGCCAUAUUUUUUAAAAGCAAUAGGAGCUUCACAAAGUCUAAGCAUAUAAACUCUGAAUAAAUUCUAAAUUUGUUUAUGUCAAUAAGAGUUUCAUCAAGUUCCAAAUUGUUAAGGAAAGAGUUCAAAGUGGCCAAGUGUUAGUAGAGCAUAUUGGGACAAACUCUAUGAUAGUAGAUUCUCUUACUAAAAGACUACCACCUAAUGUUUUUUGCAAGCACACUAUUCAUCUGGGAAUAAUACCUCAUGAGAAUAUGUAACUUUAGUGGGAGUUUGUAUCUUAAUGCUCAUAUGUUUAUAGACACAUCCUUUGGUUAUUUUAUGCAUGAAUAAAGUUUAUGUUUUACUUACUUUGAAUAUGUUUAUUUUAUCUCCAUUCGAAAUAAGUUAGAAAUGUACAUGUAUGAAUCAUAGUUCAUGUAAUUUUCAUGCUACACAUUUAUAUGUGAUCUAUAUUUUUCAUUAUAUCAAUAUAUGUGAUUAUCAUUAGGUUUAAUUAGGCAAAAAUGUGACGAAAACCCAUUUAGUUCUAUAUUGGUGUAAUGAUAUAUGAAAUUAUUGGAGAUGUCAUUAGUAAUCAUAACACUAUAUUGAACUCCUAAGUCAUAAUGUAUAAUAUCAAGUUAUCAUAUAUAAAUAUUGUCCAAAUGGGAGAUUAUUACUUUUAUUUUGACAUGAACAAAUUAUAUAUGAAUUGUACAUUAUGGGGCCAUCAUCUAAUUAAUCUCAUAUUAUGUGAUUCAUUUAAGUUUUAGUUUGAGAUUAUGACAUUUUAUGUAAAUAUGGGCGUAUAUAUAAUUAUAUGCAGAGAUUGUCUUAUUCCAAUUUUAUGAUGAGCAAAAUUUGAAAUGGACACCAAGGGGCUAAUUGCCCCUUGUCUAUAAAUAAGGGGCCAUGGUCCUUGGGUAACACGAUGUGUGAGUCACUCUUGGAGCAUCUUAUCUCUCAUAGAGUAUGAAGACUCUAUAGAUUCAAAAGACCAUUCAUAUUCCCUCAUUCUACAAUGGAUUCUAGUAUAUCCCCUUUUGUUUCAUUCAUUAAUACACUAUCUAUUAGUACUAGAUCUCAAAUUUUAUACAUUUAACAUCAACCAUCGGAAUGACCCACAUCUUUGUCAAUGGAAGGUCUUAGGAUCGUCAUGUUGCUUUGAAGGGGAUGAUGUGGCCUCUCAAUCAUCAUUAGAUCUAUUUCACCUCUUGCACCUUUUUCGCGUGCUUUAUUAGGAUAUGUGUGGGCGCCGAACCACGUGCUGAUGGCUGGAAAUGUGGUUGCUUCUAGUGCAUUGGAUUUGAUAGCGAUUGUUGUUAGAUCUGGCACUACUUUUUGUGCGAUAGUGGGUAGUGACAUGGCACGUUCUCGUGUGUUGGGUAUAAUUGUCAUCACUGUCAGAUCGACGGCUACUUUUUGUACGAUGGUGGGUGGUGACGUGGUGGCUUCUAGAUCAUUAGAUCUAGCCAUUGCUGCUGCUUUGCCAUCAUAUCUGAAAAAGAUAAGAAGAUGUCGUUUAGUCCCAUAUCAGAAGUUUGAUGCAUAUAGAGUAAUAUAUAGUAAUCGAUGCCUAUGACUUAUCGCAAGCACCUCUAAAAGGGAUGAUCCAGACUUGACUACCAACUCCUAGGGAAGAUUUGGAUUGAGACCCGACUCCUAGUAGGCCAUGGAGGUGAUCUGUUCAGCCCAAACCCAUGAUUAAGAUCCACUAUUGAUUACAUAGGUUGUGAGGUGGUGUGCCCUUGGGGCCCGCUCCCAGAUGUAGUGUGGCCUAUGGACUACAUUAGGCCCAUUAAGUGGUGUGCCUCAGGCCUGCUAACGAUGCACCUAUUUUUAUUUUUCAUUUUAUUUAUUAUAUCUAUUUUAAUGCCUAAAAAUUUUAGAAAAAUUAUAGAGAAUAUAUUUUAGUUAAUCAUAAAAAUCUAACACAACAGAAUUUUAUUUAAAAAUAAACUAAAUGAGAAUUAAGCUUCAACAUAUGAAAUAAAUUCUUAUCAAUUUUCUUUUUAUUCAUAAAAUAUCAAUUUAAAUCAAGAUUUAAGGAUGCUCAUUAAAAUGAUAAAUAAAAUAAUUAACAUAAUAACUUGUGAAAUAAUUCUCAAAUAUGUAUUAUUCUCCCUAUUUAAUAACACAUUAAUAUAUAAUUUUCAUAAGUUAUUAGUUGUAAACCUGCCUACGGAGGUUGCUUGUUAACUGUGAAUGUCACCUACACUCGCAAACUCAUCUGCCACCCACAGACAUUGCUUGCAAGUAGUGAGUGUCGCUUAUUGCCCAUGGAUGUCGCCUGCCAUUCAUGGACUCACCUACCACCCAUAGACAUCACCACCGGCUCGCACGAAGGUCGCCCGCCGGCUACAGAGGUUGCCUGCCAGCCGGGGCAUCUCCUCUUGCCCGUGGUCUUGCUUAAUGGCCGCAGACAUUGCCUGCCACCUGUAGACUCUCCUGUCACCCACAGACGUCACCUGCGUUGACUCCUCACAGUCAACACUCUUUGCGAGGUUCCCCUUUGGGUCAUCUAUAAUCGGUUGACUCAAACGUCCAUUGCCCACAGGAGUAGCGAUUCUCCCCGCUGCUUGUCUGGCCAAGAAGCGUCAAGAUUCCUCCAUCAAAAGGGCACACGAAAUCAUCACCGGUUUAGGUUUCAGGGUGCUGCCCCAAACCCUGCAAGAGGGAGGCUAGCCCCUUGAUCCCCCACCAAUUGUCCGUGCAGUUGGAUUUGUGAAGAUCUUGGCAAAGAGCUUGAUCCAUGAAUGGAAGACUAAUCAGCAGAAUUUCUAGUCACCAUCCUUCCACUGCCUGUGCAACUCAAGGCUCGCCGCACUACUCAUCGUGUUGUACUAGUGCUGAAGGUCUUCUCUUCACUCUUCGGUGACUUAUGUUAUUCCAUCUGGUAUUUUCUUGUGUGUUUUUCCACCACCGUCGGAUUUAGUUUAAUACAUUUGUGUCUUCUCAUGGUCAACUAUCCAAGAUUUUGAAUUUAGAGCUUUACUUAUCGCGGUGGUUGUAAGAUAGUACUCCCACCCUCAGCCAAGGAAUGAGGCUGCACCAUCAUUAUUUUCUCCGAUUUAAAGGUUCAAGCCGAUGAUGUGAUUUGUGGCAUGAUUUAUCCAUCCCUAUAUCAUCCUUGGCCAACCCACUUUGAGUUUAUCAUACUUGUCUUACAUCAUUUUGACCCUCGUAAAGCAUGUGAAACUUAUUUUAUGAGGUCUCAUUGUUGUUGUCGUCCAAGUAUUUUUUAUUUUUUCUUCUCGAUAUCCAACCAAUCUCGUUGUUGGGCUUGCCAUGGAUUUUUGAAGCGUCGUUCUUUUUCAAUUAGUUUUCCCAUGGUGGAGUGAUAAGGAUAAAAAAUUUGUCUUGCCAAGUAUAUUUACUAUAGUCAUAAAUGAAAAUGACAUAAUAAGAGAAUCCAUAAUGAAAUUGGACUGCAAAGGGUCCCCAAAGAUUAGAAUGAACAAAUUGUUGAGGAUUUUAAGUUAUACAAGACGAUUUAGAAAAUGGUAACUUAUAACUCUUUGACAAGAAAUAUUAUUCACAAAGAGAUUGACUAGGAUGAUGAGUAGUAGGUAGGCCAAAUUAUUAGAUGAUGUUACAUAAGAUCUGAAAAUUUGGGUGUCCUAGUCUAACAUGUCAUAUUAGAGGAGAGACAUGUUCCUCAAGAUAAGUAGUAAGUACUUGCUAGAAUAGAGGGAGGUAGUAGAUAUCAUCUUUAAGUCAUCCUUGGAGAAGAACUUUUCCCCAUGUCAAGUCCUUCACAAGAUAAUAAGAUGGGUAGAACUCAAUAGAGACAUUAUUGUCAGAGGUAAGCUUUCAAAUUGAAAGUAAAUUACAAGUGAUGUUCGGAACAUGAAGGACAUUAUUUAAUUUAUGGGAGUGUGAAAUAUGGAAAAUCAAUGAGAUGAGAUUGAUAGACCUUCACCAUUUUUGACAUAUAAUUCGUCAAAACAUGUAUAAAUUAUAGGGUCAAUUAGUGUGUUAUAAUCUAGAGUGACAUGAUGAGUAGCUCUACUAUCUAGAUACCAUGUUGUUGAAUUAUUUAUUGAGGGUCCUCCGAGUGUAGAUCCUCUAGAUGAUGUUGGUGGAGUACCAUAUGUGGAUGUGUAGGUAAUUAUAGGAUGGUCAUUUGAUGGUUAGCCUUCUCAUGAGAGUUGAGCAUUUAUAAAACUAACUGAAAAGUUUUUGUUGAAACACUCACCACAUUCUAGGCCACGAUGCCCAAAUUGAAGACAAAUCUGACAUCAGUUACAUGUUAUUUCUUGCGACCAUGUCCUCUAUUGGUAAGUUGACUUAUAUUCACAAGGUUGGCAGAUGGCUACCCAUGGGUACCUUGAGUGAUUUGAUACUAUGCCAUAAUUGUUUCAUGUGUCAUUAAAUGUGCAAGAAAAUCUUCUAAAGUGAGCAGUUCCAUCUAGUCAAACUUGUAAUAAAAGCUUCAUAACUUGACCCUAGUCCUCUGAGUACUAUGAUAAUUAGUUAUUGAUCAUCUAUUGGCUGACCAGUAAUAGAAAAUUCAUCUGCAAUAAUCUUGAUAGAUUAAACAUAUUCUUAAAUAGAACUUGUACCACAUUAUGAGGCAUGUAAUUUGGUAUGUAAUUAUUAAAUUUUAGAUUCAAAGCAAGAGGAAAAUUCUCUAACUAAUGGAUCUCAUACUUCUUUAGACGUAUUGUAUCCAACUAUUAAUAGAAAGAUGGACUUUGUAAGAGAUGAUAAAGUUCAUGAAAAGACAAUCUGAUUAUUUAGUUCCCAUUUCAGAAAUUUAGGAUUUGAGUGUGAGACUUUCUUUUCAUCAAUGACGGUUACUGAAGGAGGUGGAGCAUAACUUUUAACCAUGGAGAUGAAUCCAUGACUCUUGAGGAGUGGAAGAAAUUAAGUCUUCCACAAUCGGUAGCUAUCUUGAGAUAACUUCAACAAGAGAAAGGGUAGGACAUUUGGUGGUGUUGCCAUUGAUCUAGAUGUUGUUCAGCAGCUUGUCUUUGAUACCAUUAAAAGAAUAUACUGAUAGUAGUGAAAGAAAAGAACAAGAAGAACGAAUUGGAAGGAUAAUUUUCUUCUAAGCCUUGAAUGAUAUAUGACUUCGUGUGUUACAAGUAGUGUUGUGAGUUUCCUUUUAUAGAGCUGGAGAUGACUCUUGAAAUUCCCUAAACUUAAGGUGAGAAGGUGAGGAGGUCAACAGUCCAUCAAUGGAUUGCCACUCAAUGAGAGAAGGUGAAGAGCUCAUGUCUUUGAAGGGAUGGAUCAUAAAUGGACCAUUCCUCAUUGUGGGGAGGUGAACUGCUCACUCUUCGUACUUAAAGACUGAGCGGUACAUGAAUUGUCAGCAUAGACGAGAAGAUCGUGGUGGAAUGGCCAUACGCCCCAAGGGCCCAGCACCUCAUGUCAAAGGGACCAAACAAACUGAUACGAUCCCUAUUCAUGUAUACGAGAGAUGCAAGAGACAAGACAACAUGUGGACCAUUGACCCAGUCCAAGGGGAUCAGGAGCCGGUUCAACAGUCUGCACGGGCAUAACUACCGAUUCAAGACUGGUAGACUUAAUAUGGAAUAAAACACAAAACGGUUGCCAACUGUCAAAGAGUUGGCAAAGAAGAAGGGUUGAUUCUUUAAUGGUAUAAAUAAGAGUAUCAAGAAAGAGAAGGGGGACCUUUUUGAGGACUCUUGGAAGUUCUUGGAGAUCGAGACAUCAAGGGAGAGGGGAGUUGUAGUCGGCUGGGGCUUCUUCUAGCGAUGGUUGAGAUUCGAAGAGGACGUAGAGAUCCGAGAGGCAAAUUUCUACAGAGCCUUACCAGAAGCACAGGCAAUUGCUCUUCUAUUCUUGAUAAUUUGGAGUCCUAUCACAAACCCUUAAGUGAGGACUUUAUGUAGGGCAUGUAGGCCUUUUCCUUAUAGAAGGAAAAGAGGCGGCGCUUCUCCCUUUUAGCAUGUUGAGUUUGAUCAAGUCAUGUAACCGGGAUGGUUUACAUACCUACAAUAUUUUCUGAAGUGUGAUUUUUUUGUCAAAGAAUAUCACCUCUAGUUACUAUCUGAUCUUUAGAUAUUUUACGUCGACCUGUUUACUCUUCAUGUUACACUUGAUUCUUUGCCAAAAAACUAACACUCGGACUAUCGUAGCGAAUAGAACUCCAUCUUGAUCAAUUCCAAGCUUUUUGAUCAGUUAUUUCAUCCAGUGACUUCCUUUGGAGCUUCAAGAAUUGUCAUGUAUUCUGACUCUAUGGUAGAAAGCCAAGUCCAUCCAGAAACAUCACGAUCGAUCCAUUAUUCUGUUAACAUUAAUUGAUUUUGUUCUGCGUGUUGCUUAAAUAUAGUGCGCAAAUAUAGGUUUAGUAAACACCAUUUAAAAAAAAAAUGGGUGAAAUUAUUUAAUAGUCAUUUGAUCCUGAGUGGAUCAGGUAAAUCGCUGCCUAGCAAUUAAUUUAAUUCUCCGUGUUGAUUAAAUAAAUAAGUAAAAUAACGUGAGAGAAUGUAACUGGGUCAACGGCGAAACCGUGGUGUUGGCGGAUGGUACGUUACUAUCUGCAUCCAUUGACCUUCUGGUUGCUCCACUGUUAUUAAUGGGUGGUGAAGAUGAAUAUAAGGCCAAAUCAGAACACAUAAAGGACACAGGUCUCGCGACAUGCCCCUCACGCGAGCAGGAGAAAGAACUAGAUGAUGAAGACAGAGACGCAUAAGAUCAGUCCGGAGCCCACGACGAAACAAGAAAUCAAGCUGUUAUUAUUCACAGUACCGACGCAGCUUCGUCAUUCCACGGUGGCCUACUAGAAAGAGAAGGGGAGAAGAGACACGCCCAAGGAGAACAGAGGCAGAAGGCGAGGCCAGCGCAGAAGAAGCCCGCGCUCCACGGAUUGAGCUCCAGAGGGUACUGAUGAGAAACUUGGACCUAGAAACAGAAAACCGGGAGGGGAGGGAUAGGAUUAGGUCAGCCGGUCGUACUCAUAGAGCCAGUAUCUCCAUGUAAGAGAGAGACAAAAGGAACAGCCCUAAGCGGCCAGAGUUGUGCAGCUCACCACAGUACAUAAAUUUGCUGACCAUGGUGAUGACGAAGAUGGAGGGGUCGUUGUAGCGGGCAUAGAGGCAUUUGGUGGCCCUACAUUCCUUGCCGAAAGUUUCGGAAAACUCUACCGCUUCCUCGAAAUUGCGUUUCAGUGUGCAGAGCUCCAUUAUAUCAGACGACCGGUAUAAGGGCAUCCUGAAGAAACACGAACGAGGUCUUAACGUCCUUCCACUGACCAAGAUAUCAAGAGAAGGGGGAGAAAGGGAUCCGUUUUUGUGGGCCGGAGAGAGAGAGAGAGAGAGAGAGAGAGAGAGAGAUGGGUCCUCACUCGGUAGCAGGGCUGUUGCAAGUGCACUUGAUGCACUUACGGACGGUCAGGGCGUAGCUGUCGUUGGGGAGAACCAGAUAAAAUUCGCGGGAAUAGGACAUUCUUGGGGGUGAGAAGCAAGCUGCCGCCGGAGUUGUAAUUGAGGACGCCGUCCAGAUGUUAGUCUGUGGGGAAAUGAAUUUUGAAAGAUAAGAAGCGAGGGAUAUGGCAAUCACCACUCAGGGGCACAUCGAGGACUUGACCGGCGAGCAGAUUCUUCGGGUCGGAUAUGUUGUUGAGGCUGAUAAGCGAUGCCUGCGACGUCCAGAACAUGCUGGAGAGAUUCGCCAGGGNNNNNNNNNNNNNNNNNNNNNNNNNNNNNNNNNNNNNNNNNNNNNNNNNNNNNNNNNNNNNNNNNNNNNNNNNNNNNNNNNNNNNNNNNNNNNNNNNNNNNNNNNNNNNNNNNNNNNNNNNNNNNNNNNNNNNNNNNNNNNNNNNNNNNNNNNNNNNNNNNNNNNNNNNNNNNNNNNNNNNNNNNNNNNNNNNNNNNNNNNNNNNNNNNNNNNNNNNNNNNNNNNNNNNNNNNNNNNNNNNNNNNNNNNNNNNNNNNNNNNNNNNNNNNNNNNNNNNNNNNNNNNNNNNNNNNNNNNNNNNNNNNNNNNNNNNNNNNNNNNNNNNNNNNNNNNNNNNNNNNNNNNNNNNNNNNNNNNNNNNNNNNNNNNNNNNNNNNNNNNNNNNNNNNNNNNNNNNNNNNNNNNNNNNNNNNNNNNNNNNNNNNNNNNNNNNNNNNNNNNNNNNNNNNNNNNNNNNNNNNNNNNNNNNNNNNNNNNNNNNNNNNNNNNNNNNNNNNNNNNNNNNNNNNNNNNNNNNNNNNNNNNNNNNNNNNNNNNNNNNNNNNNNNNNNNNNNNNNNNNNNNNNNNNNNNNNNNNNNNNNNNNNNNNNNNNNNNNNNNNNNNNNNNNNNNNNNNNNNNNNNNNNNNNNNNNNNNNNNNNNNNNNNNNNNNNNNNNNNNNNNNNNNNNNNNNNNNNNNNNNNNNNNNNNNNNNNNNNNNNNNNNNNNNNNNNNNNNNNNNNNNNNNNNNNNNNNNNNNNNNNNNNNNNNNNNNNNNNNNNNNNNNNNNNNNNNNNNNNNNNNNNNNNNNNNNNNNNNNNNNNNNNNNNNNNNNNNNNNNNNNNNNNNNNNNNNNNNNNNGGGGCCACGUAGCCGGCCAAGGCCUGGCACUUGGACUUGGAGCUGCAGCGGAAUUUAGGAGGGGGUUGAGCGGUGCAGGUAGAGACGAGGAAGAGGAAGAGCAAGAGGAGGGGGAAUGGAAGAACGACCGGGCCUACGUAUCGGAUCAUCUCGAGCGUCUUAGCGUCCUUUUCUUCUUGAGGAACGUCGUGCUCCUCUCAUUCUUUUAUG
rnacentral:lncRNA from 1 species